UUCAUGUUUUUGUGGGUUCGGUCUUGAUGUGAAAACUGAAUUCUCAUAUAAAUCUAAAGAUGAAACACCAAAACAAACUAAGCAAUAAUGUGAAUAUAAUACUUUAUUACAAAUAACACAUAGCUAUAAUUCAUAAAUAUGAAUAUUUAUUGGAUUCUACUUAUAGAAUUAUUAUUUGUUUACUAAUUUAAAUAAUUUUAUGAGUUUUUUUUAUUCUAUAGUUCUUUUCUCAACACAUUUGAUAUUUUUAUAAUUAAAAUUUUUAUAUGACAAUUAAUAAUAAGUGAAGUAGGUAAAUAUAUAUAUAUAUUAAGAAAAAGAGUAAAUCCAAACCUUCUGAAAAUAUAUUUAUUGUAUUUAAAAAACAUUUGCACGUGCCAAAGAAGUUCCCACGUGCACAUUUUCCUCUUUCAAAAUGAAAUUAAAAUCCAUAGGACCCAUCCAACACUCUUCUCCAUGUCCUUUUUUUUUUAAAAAAAAAUUAUUAUUAUUAUUAUUUCCCACUUUAUUUUUUCUUUUUUCUUUUUAGUAAAAGAAAAAAGUUUCACCCAUUAUAUUUGAAUCAAUAAGAUAAAGUAAUGUUCUUUUUUCAAAAUUUGGCUUCACUCAAUUUCAAAACUUAUAUAUAACGAUUCUAUUUUUGUAAAUUCGAAGGAAAACAAUAAUACCAACAAACGUAUAUACACUAAUAUUAAUACCUACAUCGUUUAAAUUUUUUUAAAUUAGUUUCUAAAAAAAUAUAUAAAACAAUUUAGACCAUUUAUUUUUCUUCAAAAUCAUUCAAAUAAGAUUAAUCUUCUCCAAAAUAAAGAGAAAAAGACAAACGGGAUGAAAAUUGCUCGUAUUUAAUCAAAAUUAACUUACAUUAGGGUUUUUUUUUUAUAUUAUUAUUAUACUUUGAAGCAUUAAUAAAUAUUAUCUCUAAACUUUAGGAUCUUACAAUUUUUAUGUUAUGUAAAACAUAAUGUGAUCAUUAUAAAUCCAUUAAUAUCACUAUUGAAACAUAUAUUAUCAUUUCAUACUAUCUUUAACAACUAAUUCCUAAUUCCUACAGACUACCGACUUUAGAUUCCAGCUAUAUAGUAGAAUUGGAAAUCACUUUGUAAUAAAUUUUGUUAUUUUCAAUUUUUUUAAAGAUUGAUUAUUUUAAAAAAGAAAAAAAAUGAUGAUUACCAUUUAAUAUUGUUAAUCUAGCUAGAACAAACAAAAACAUAACAUUCAAAAUCAUAGUAUAAAAUUAUAAAUGGUAAAGAAAAUGUAAUUUUUAAUAGUAGGUUUUUUCUUUUUUUAGGAAAACAGUAAGUCUAUUUUAGUUACUAUUUCUCGAAUACAAUAAUUUAGUAUUUCUUUAUCCUAACACUACACCAAUUAUUAAGCCUAAGGUUGGAUGUUAUCAAAUUAUACUAAUUUGUUUCCUACAUUAGAAUGAAUUUUUUAAAGCUGUAUUUUCAACUAAAAGUUGCAAAUAUUUAAAAAGUAAUUUUUUUUUAAAAAAAAAAACUCAUGAUUGAAAUCAUCAUAUCUUACAGAUUUUAGUCCCAGCCAUUAGUUAUAUUUGCUGCCAUCAUUUAGCAGUAAUUUUUUUUUAAGAAAAAAGAAGUUUGUAGUAUAAGCCAUAUUGAGGUUAAGACAUUUCCAUCAAAGCAAGUCAACCCACUAAUUAUUUCAAUAAUACCCUGAAUAUAUAAUUGGAGAUCAUAGGUUUACAUCAUCACCCAUUUGAAAAUGUUAAAGAGUAAAUAUUUUAUUUCAUUAUGGGGAUUUAUUAAUGAAGAAGGUUAGGGACUGAAAUACAAAGUUACAUAUAGCAGUCUAAACUAAAGAAAAAAGGCAAAGGGGGAAAAGUAUUAAGCCAUAAAAGAAACACUUUAAAAGCAAAAGUAUAGCUAGCCAGAGAAUGGACGACAAAAUUACAAAUUGUGGAAGGGAGGAAUGAGAUAACGAAAAGGAAAGAAAGCAUGUCUAGAGAUGCUCCACCCUUGUUUAGCCAAAACACUGAUUUUGAGAUUUUGUACGACUCUAAUAGGGUUUAGUGUUAAUGAAGAAGAGAUGGUGACAUACAAAUUGUCCACGUAUAUUCAAAAACUUAAGUUGGUAGGUGGAGACGAAUUUGAUUAUAUAUAUAUAUGUGCUCAAUUAUGAAUGAUGAUUCAACUUGUUCUAUAGAAAACAUGUACAGAAUGGUUGAAAAAUGGUAAGAAAUAUAACAUGAUUUUACUUUUUAAAUAGGAUUGACAUCUCUGUUAUAUUUAAUAAGAAAAAAGGAGGAUUCAUUUAAAAACAAAAAACAAAUUGUUUGUUUAUUAAUUAAAUCCGCAAUAUAAUAGGGAUGUACAGCCGCCCAAAAGAGCCAUCCAUUUUCCAAUUCUCUCAUUCUCUCCAAAAACAAAACACAACCACACAAACAACUUCUCUCAAAGAUUCCAACCUUCCCCCUCUCCAGAAAAAGAUAAAAAAGAAAAACCAGAUGAAAUUCAAAACCCUUUUUCUUCUUGAUCUUAACAAGAAGAGAAACUAACGAAUUUCCAGUAGCGCCCGCGCCACUGUCGCGAUGAGCCAUCUCGAAGACUCUCUAAGAUCCCUUUCUUUAGACUAUCUUAAUCUUCUAAUCAACGGUCAAGCCUUUAGCGACGUGACGUUCAGCGUCGAGGGGCGUCUUGUCCACGCGCACCGAUGCAUCUUGGCGGCUAGGAGUUUGUUUUUCAGAAAAUUCUUUUGUGGGACGACGACGGAGGCGGGUGCGUCAUCCGGGUUGAGCCCGGUUGGAUCGCCGUCUCCGUCGACAGGGAGUAGUAGUACACAAGUGAUUCCAGUAAAUUCGGUGGGGUAUGAAGUGUUUUUGUUGUUGUUGCAAUUUUUGUAUAGUGGACAAGUUUCUAUUGUGCCACAGAAACAAGAACCAAGGCCUAAUUGUGGUGAUAGAGCUUGUUGGCAUACACAUUGUACCUCCGCCGUUGAUCUUGCCCUUCAUACUCUCUCCGCCGCUAGAUCCUUUGGCGUUGAACAGCUCGCAUUACUUACUCAGGUCAGCUCUCUCUCUCUCUCUCUCUCUUUUGGGUUUUUGAUUUCUUAUUAUCCCAUGUGGGUAUUUGAAUUUUUUUUAUGUUGAUGAACUUGUGGAAUUUUUUGAAACUUUUUACCUGAAAAACUAUGUUGAUGAAUUUGUGGAGUUUUUUCUAGGUCUCUUUUAAGUAAUAUGUAUAAUUUCUUUGUUUAAGAAAACACUUUCUAAAUUGAGUUUUUUUUUAAGAGGGUCUAUAUAUUAUGGAUUCAUUUAUACUCAUAUUUUUUGAAAAUUCACUUUCCUCAUUUGGGUUUUUGUUGGAAAUGAAAAUUUUUGAUUAGAAGCUACUCAAUCUAAUUUUUUUAAUGAAUUAAGAUUUUUUUUAUAAUAGGAAAGGGGAAAUAUUAUUCUUUUUAUUAUAGCAUUAUGUGUUUUUAUUUUGGUGUUUGGAUUUUUUUCUCUAUUAUUUGAUUUACUUUUUUGUUUAUUUAUGCAGAAGCAAUUGGCAAGUAUGGUGGAGAAAGCUUCCAUUGAAGAUGUAAUGAAGGUUUUAUUAGCUUCAAGAAAACAAGACAUGCAUCAACUUUGGUCCACUUGUUCUCAUCUUGUAGCUAAAUCCGGUCUCCCACCCGAGGUACUUGCCAAACACCUUCCGAUCGAUAUCGUAGCGAAGAUAGAAGAACUUCGCAUAAAGUCUUCUUUAGCGCGUCGUUCUCUAAUGCCUCAUCACCACCACCACCACCAUCACGAUCUUUCGGUUGCUGCCGACCUCGAAGACCAAAAGAUUCGUCGUAUGAGGAGGGCUUUAGACUCCUCCGACGUUGAGCUUGUUAAACUGAUGGUGAUGGGUGAAGGUUUGAAUCUUGAUGAAGCUUUAGCCUUACAUUAUGCUGUUGAGAAUUGUAGCCGUGAAGUUGUUAAGGCUUUGCUUGAGCUCGGUGCCGCUGAUGUUAACUACCCUGCUGGCCCGGCGGGGAAAACCCCACUUCACAUGGCGGCGGAAAUGGUUUCGCCCGACAUGGUUGCUGUGCUACUUGACCACCAUGCUGACCCAAAUGUCCGAACCGUCGAUGGUGUCACACCAUUGGAUAUCUUAAGAACCCUAACUUCAGAUUUUCUCUUCAAAGGUGCGGUCCCGGGAUUAACCCACAUCGAACCAAACAAGCUCAGGCUCUGCCUCGAGCUUGUCCAAUCCGCUGCAUUGGUUCUCUCUCGCGAAGAAGAAAAUGCCAACGCCAACGCCAACGUCAACGUUUCAUCAUCUCCAAUUUACCCACCGAUGAGUGAGGAUCAUAGCAGUAGUAGCAGCAACAACAACAAUAUUGGUAAUCUCAAUCUCGAUUCGAGAUUGGUUUACCUAAAUCUCGGGGCAUCGGGACGAAUGGGAGGUUCUAGAGUGGACGGAGAAGAUGACAACAGACAUGGAUCACAAGGAGGAGGAGGAUGUAUCCCAACAAUGUACCACCAUUCCCAUGACUUUCGAUGAAAAUUAAGCAUAACAUCAAAAUCUCUUAUUAUAUAAAAAUUUCACAAAACAUCAUCAUCUAAAUUAGAAUUCAAAAGGGGGUUAAAAAUGUUGAUUGAAAAAGGUAACCAAGAUCAUCAGCUAGGCUUUCUUGGGAAUCAAAUUAUCAUUGGAUCAAUUAUAUGUUUACAAUAUGUCAGCUUUGUUUAUUUUUUUAAAAUUUAUCUUCAAUUAAUUCAGUUUUUUUACCUCUCUUUUUCUCUAUAUGCCUUGUAUGUUUUUUUCUUUUUUUCUUUUGUAGGGAUCUUGAGUUGAAGUGAUGAAGGUAUGAAGUAAGAGAAGUACUCAAAAAUUGUGAGAAAUCAAAUGAGAUGAGACAAGAGAAAGAAUCUGACAUUAAAUUUCCCUUUAAAAAAUUUCUUUCUGCUUCUUCUGAUUGGAACACAGUCUCUCAGGUCAAUCUUUUCAAACCCUUUUGGUCUUUUUUUUCAUAUACUUCUAAUUCCUAUUAAUUAAUAUAUCUUUUCUACCCUAAAUUCUAUAUAUAUAUACACAAUAAUACGAUAAUAUAAUAUUCAUUUCAAACUUAUCAUAAUGAAAAACUUUUGUGGGUUCUAAUAAUAAUAACAAUAAAUUAAAACUAUAGUCUAAUUAGUUUAUAUCAUUUUGGGCCCUUUGUUAUUUCAUUUUCCCACUUCUUAAUAUUAUUGUGUCCCCCACCUGCCCUCCAUAAUGCAAAUUAGUGAAUGCAAUAACUUUUGGUUUUAUAUGCAAUGGGAUCUCUCUAUUAUAUCCUAACUUCUUCUUCUCAUGUAUCUCAUUAAUAUUUCUAGAAAGAAAUGUAUUUAAUCGUACUUAUUUUUGUACAUAUCAUUUAGACUAUUUGUCACGUAACAAAUUUUUUUUAUAUUUAUAAUUAAAGUAGGAAGAUGUUCCUCUUAUAACUUUUUUUUUAAUCUUAGAUUCAUGAACUGAGAUUAGGAAAGGAAGCUUAGAAGAAGAGAAGAGAAAUGGGAAUGGGGAAAGAAUAAUAUUUCUCCCAAUAUAAACUUUUUACUACUGCCCAUUCCAAGCUAUAUAUUGGUUGAUAUAUCAAAUUUAUCAUGGGUAGCUUUAUUUUUUUCAAUUGAAGGAUUAUUAUAUUUUAAUUUACUUUGGUGUAUAGUUUGAUUUUAGUUUAUUUAGAUUAUUGAUAGACAAGUAUAUCUAAUAUCAAUUAAUUAUUGAUUGAUUAGUAUAUAAUUGAUUCCAACUAGACAUACAAAAAAAUUAGGAAGUUCAUAUUUCAAUUCAAUUAGGUUUAGUUUUACAUUAUUUGAUCAAAUAUUUUCUUUCUAGAAAAACAUUACAUUAUAAAAUUAAAAAUGUCACUUCUUGUCAAAAUUUUGGCACAUAUGUCUAGAUAAGAUAGGGGAUAUUGACUAAAAGGUUUUUGCUUUUCAAACUUUUUGAGAGAUGGAUUUAUUUGAUUUUUGGUUAGUUGAUCAUAUUGAUUAAUUAAACAUCAUCUAUAUAUUGGGUUAUGGAAAAACUCAAUUUGGGUAUGACCUUGACUAAUAAAAAAAUUAAUUUUGUGGUGAAAAGAGAAGAGAAGUUGUGGCUGUCAUGCAUGAGUGCAACAUUGAAUGUGGCCCAAAACAUUGAUUGAAGUUAUUAAAUAUAUCUAAAGAUGGAUUCUCUUCUUCCUCUAAAUACUCUAUUCUGUCCCCUUUUCUUUUCUUUUUUUUUUCUCUUUCCUUAUUUGGGAUUGGUUUGAAUUUCAAAACCCUAACCUACCUCUUUGUUUCUCUUUUUAUUAUUACAUGUUAUGUUAAGGUUUUGUUUGGUUGUUGUUUUAAUUAAUGUAUUGUGUGUGUUCUUUAAGAAUUUAUUGACCCCAAAAAUUACACCAUAUAAUUUGCUGCCAACCCAUGUAAGUUUUUCUACCCUCUUUAGUCCUUUGUAAAUACCAAAAGUACUUUUGGGAGAUUUAAUUGCUUUGGUGAGAGCAUUUAACUAGGGAGGAAAUUAAAAUGAAGAUAGUUUUAAUUUGGUUAUUUAAUGUUUUAGGAUUAUUGUAAUUCAAUCAUGUGGAGUGAGGAUUUGAUAGUUCCUCUAUUCAGUUAUAUAGUCAACUUUGAUUUGCAUGUUUGGUUGUCGAUAAAGUGUUUUGGUUAUUGUAUUUUUCGAAAUGGCUCGAGUGAAAUUAAUGAUUUCAAGAUGUCUCGAUACUUGGAGGAGUUACUUAUGUGUUACUCAAGUUAUGUUUAGGUCAAUUUUGUUUUAUGUUUUUGUUAUAAUAGAUAUGUAAAAUAGACGUUCGUAAGGACCAUUCUAGUCAAUUAUGCAUGUUCAUUGUUACUACUUUGAGUUAUUUGGUAAUUAUACUACUUUUACUAUUUAUCAAAAGCUCGUACGUAUAUCGCUCAAAAGCUUAUGCGCUACCUAUUAGACACUUUUAAAAUGACUAACUAAUGUUGGAUUGCAGGGUUUGUAUACCUUCUGGGUUGUUUGAGAGAAGGAUCAAAAUUGGGUGUUUCUCUCAUCCCUUUAUAAGUUAGUGUUAAAUAAUUUUCACUUUCAAUUCGUACAUUUAUCCAUUAACAUCGUCUUUCCUACCUUCUUUCUUCCUAUUUUCCUAACUUUAAGACUAUGUAAUAACUCUCCACGCACCAUUAAAAUUCACUUGAUCAAUGUAUUCUAACAGCCCCAAAAGACAUUAACUCAUUUCCACUAUGAUUAGUUAGAUAAGUCAUAAGUGGUAAAAUUUCGAAAGACGUGCUUAAAACAAAUGGGCAAGGCAAAAAGAAAAUGGUACACUAAUUGUAUAGUCUUGGAAUGUAAAUAAAAGAGGGAAAAUAUUCUUUUUUUUCUUGUGUUUUAAUUCCAGUUACUAUUUGAUUCUUAGGUUUGUAAUGUAUUUUUGGUAUUACGUUUUAAGUUUUGAGUUGUAUUUCAAAUUAAUUCUUAAAUUUUAACAUGGUUACAAUUUUAUAUUUGGGAGGUUUGAGUUUUAUUUUUUUUAAUUUGAUACGAAAGUUUCAGCUUCUUUUACUUUCAAAGUCAUAUUUAUCCAACUUCAACAAUAUUUGAUAUACAUAUACACUUUUCUUCGAAGUAAGCUCAUAUUAGUUGUACUUUAAGAACAAAAUUAGUCACUCUAAGUAUAACUUAGUGGAAAAAAAAUACUAAUAUCAAUUUUUACAAACCUCAACGGUUUGAUUGUACACACUACAAUUAUUGAAUCGAGACAUCGACAUUUUAAAUUAAGGUCAUUUACGUUGUAUUGUAUGUAUACAAUACAUAAGAAUGGACUAGGAGUUUAGAGACUCGAUCACAUAUAUACAUAUAUUAUAGCUUUAGUGUAUAUUUGUGGUGGAGGAUUAUUAAAUACAAGCAUCCCAUUAUCUCUAUUUGGGCGUGUUGUUGUUGAUUAUUUAUUUAUUUACUUUUUAAAAGGGUGUUGCUGAAGUUAUGAUGCCUCAUUAUUCAUUUAAUUAAACUUAUACAUAGUUGAUUAUUAGAGGGAUUGAAACCUUAUUGAAAACUAACACAUCUACGUACGUCUAAGUUGGGUUUGCUCAUUAUUUUGUGUUUGAUUAGUUUAUAAAAUAUUUGACUAAUAGGAUUCACUGGAUAUAUAAUGCUCGAAAUCUAAUCAAAUAAUGGUUAGUUUUUUUUUUUUUUUUUUCCUUUUUUGUGUUUUAAAGAAAGAGCAGAAUAAAAAGCUUUAACUUCCUUUUGCAUAAUUUUAGCUUUUGUUAGGUGUAUGAAUUUGGGAGAUUAAUUAUUCUUUGUCAUUGCUUUCACAAAGCACUAAAACUUUGGUCUAAAACGGAAGUUGGGACACUGACUUUUUAGAGUGUUAUGGAAUAUAUAAAGAUUUUGAACCAACACAAAUUAGCCAAGUUGAUAGACAACCAUAUGCUAAUGUUGGCAAUGACACUUUUUAAUCAAUUUGGCGGGGCACCAAACUCAAUUCAAAUCAAAUUAUAGCUAAACCACAACAUUAAUCAAUAUAAUUAUAAAAAAAAAUACCACUAUCUUCUUAUCAUAGAUACACAUUGUAGUCCCUUUCGAUGAACUUAUAUUGUGGGUGAUAAAUUGACACUAUCUAGAGGUUUUGAUAUAAUCACUAGUCUUUACCUUCUCUAACUAACUUACUUGUCCAUCAAUAAAUGAGAAUAAAAGGUAAAAUAAGAAACUGAGAUGAAUUUAUACAUUCUUAAAAGUGAUUAACUGAUAGAAUUUAGGACGUUUGGAAUAAUUGAAUUCUAGUCAAGAUGAGCACUAAACAAAUGUAUGCCCUAUCACUCCCACUUGUAUUGGUUUUUCCAUUGAGUCCUUCAAUAGGGUAUGUGGAAGUGGAACCCAUCCAUCCUCGAGUACAAUAAAAAGAUGAUAAAUUCAAACUAUAGACCUUUUGUUUUGCUAAUACGUCAGGUAUGUAUAUGAUACAAAUCUCUCAAGUAACAAAUUAAAUACAUAUAUAUUCUCAAGAAUAAAUAAAUAAAUAAGUAAAAAUAAAGUGGUUCUUAAAAAUGGGUUUAUUAAUCUCUACUUUUCUCAACUACACAUUAGACACUUGAGUAAAUAUUCUAAUUUUUUGACAUAAUUCUAAAUAUAGUAACAAGAAAAGGGCAGUUAUGUCACUAAAACUUUCUUUGGACGAUUCAGGUGUAGCCUUGUUUACUUGGAGGAAGCUCAAAAAUUAGCCAAAACUCCCGUUCAUUCAGCCUUCUCUCGGACACAGUCUUCUUUAUGAAACAUAGCAUAUUGAUCCUCAAGUCCUACAUUCAAAGACCAAUCAUGUUGGUAAUAAUAGGGAUAUCAAAAUGCAAAACUAAACACUACAAUGCAAGUAGAGGGAAUCUCUAUAUUAUUUUCUGGUUCUUUAAAAUAUUAGUUCACGGUUGUUUUAUUUUCAUUAUCGAACAUUGGGUAUUUACAUUGACAAGUAUUUGAACACAUGUUGUGAGUCAAACAUAAAGUUUUCAAAUUUUUGUUUAAUGGUGACACUAUGAUAGAACCUAAAUAUACCAAUAUAAAUGGUAACCAAACUAUAAAAUAAACUAAAGUUUUUUCCAAUCUUGAGAUUAAUCUAAAGCCCUAGUUUACUCACCAAAAUAUUGCCUACCCUCCUCAUUCCCCUACCAUAUUUAUAACCAAGAAUAACAAACUCUCUAGCUAAUUACUAAUUACCUUCAAUACUCGGUCCCUGAUGCCAUCUCUAUCACACUAAUCACAAUGAAAAGAGACCUUGUAUUUCUUAUCAGGAAAGAAACAUAAGUUGAGUUGGCUGGGGAAGAAACAUUUAUACUUUGGGCAAAUUGAAAAAAUGGGAGGGGAAGUUGUUGGGAUUUUCUUCAAGUGUUUCUAUGCGUUUAAGUUAUAAAUGGUGAGAUUUUUUAAAUCCUAUGGUUUCAUCUGAACAGAAGUUUGAGGGAUAACCUGUUGAAGAGAACAUCUGUACAACAACCAAGAACUUAGGUAAUUGCCCAAAACUUCUUUCUACAGAUCAGCACAGAUUCUGGGUUAUUAUCUUUCGUUUGCAGUGUCUGCAUUUCAACAUCCCAUAGAUAUUUGGAAGCAAUUUCUUGUAUUCUUGAUGUUAUUGAAGGUUCGUCUCUGAUGAUUAUGUAUCCCUGUACAUGAAAAUGAUUCAAAGACAAUUUGAAGCAUAAAUUAGAAACAGUAGAAGAUAUGCCAAUAGGCAGAUUACGCUUGCUUCUCCCUUCCUAAAUUUUAGCAUUAUGGGAGGAGAUCUCCGUUACAAAGAACUUUGAUAACAGAAAUGUCAUGCCCAUGAAAUCUUACAAGAACAGAGAAAUGGAUACAUCAUACAGCAUUACGGUGACAUGCUAUUUUCUAAAAAUCUAGACAUACUAAGCAUUGUUCAGGACAUGUUUAUUAGAAUGUGCAUUUCUUAGAUAUACAUUCUUUAGAUAUUCGUUAAAAAUUCCUGUGCUAACCCUUUUAACUUAAGAUAUUUUCAUGCCAGAGAUAAUGUAAAAGAAGUAAAGAUAGCAAUACUUGAAGAGUUUGGAGAAACUAAUGAACUAUUUCUCAUGGUACAAUGACUAAUAUCAAACUUUUCAAAUGCAUAGAACAAACUAACAUUUUUGUUGAAAUUUAAAGCGACAACAUGGAUUAUAUGUGCUAGUAAAAAAUUAUAUAGUUAGACAAAAAGUUUAGUCCAUGAACUUGGAUGUAUUUAAAAGAUCUUUAAAUGUUAAGAAGCUCCAACGAAGGGCAUUUUUGGCCCAAAGAGUAGGAGAUUAGGGGAAGUGGAGUGGACUUCCCUCCUUGUUUGGUCAAAGAAGCUUGUGGACCCCACACACUUAAACAACUCUCCAAUUUUAACAACUACCCAAACUAAACAACUUCACUCCUUACCCAAAUGCCCCCCCCAUAAAUCUCAAAACUUUUAGUUUUAUGUUCCAUAUGUUCCUUAACUUUAUAAAUGUUUAAAUCCUUCAUCUUUCAUUUUUUUAUCUAUUAAGUCAUUGUCAUUGAUUUAUUAAUCAAACAUUUUGUAAACUAUUAAACAAAAUAGAAAAUUGAGGGCCUAUAAAAUGAUUUUAAAGUUCAAAAACUUGUCGACACAAAAUUAAAAGUGUAUAAACCUAUUAAGCUAUUACAUACUCUUUUAAGUUGAGAGAUUUAUAAAACACAACUAAAGGACUAGACUUAAAUUUUUAAUUAGACCUUAGGGGGCGUUAAAGACAAGGACUAUCCUAAGACUAUAAUAACUACCUCUUGCUACAGCUACAGUGAAUACUCUUUUAUACUCCCAAUUUAGCUGAAGUCAACACUAUUUCAAAGGCCCUCAUUUCCUACAAUAUUUACUAUUUGCUAAAGUUUUUACUAUUUUACAUUUUCAUUAAUUUUUAUUAUUUACUAGUCUCCUAUUUCCUUCUCAAACUAAAGUAGUUUACACCUCACACGCAUACUUUUAUAACCCAAACUAAAAUAAUCUACGUACCAAACACAAACUAUUAUAACUAAUCUAUAAUAACCAACUCCUUGUCCCAAACAACCCCCUGCUAAUUUUAUCCUAAUAUUUGUCCAUGUUUGUACUUUCUAUAUUAUGUGUGUAUAAAUAAAUAAAAUAGAUACUUUAGGUCCUUCAUUUGUUUAGUAGGGUCGUAAUUUCUAUAAUUUGACAUGUAUUUAUUAUACUUAAGCGUUCAAUUCGAGUCCAAUCAUUUUUAGACUCCUUUAAUUCAUUCAAUUUUUGUUAAUGAGUGUCAAACUUGUGUCUAUCAUACUUGAGAACUGUUGGACACAAGUACAAUAAGGAGUAGUGUGGAUCUGACGCAGACACAUGCGUAAGCUCAAAUGGAAGUGUCCAUGCUUCAAAGCAAAUCUUAUUUAGUUCACCAAAUGCACAAGGGUCGUGUUGUGAUGUCCUUUUUGUUUCCUGUUAUUGUUUCAGAUUGUUGAGAAAUGUGUGUUUGGUAGUUUUUGUAUUUUGUCAAGGUUGAUUGUUCCUUUUUAUUUCAUAAGAAAUAUCAAGAGUAGAUUCCAAAAAAAGGAACAAGAACAGCCUAUAGGCCGACCACAGGGUCAAUUAUUACAUGACUCUGGUUUCUUGUUUUUAAGAAAUAAUUUUAAAAUAAAAGACACGGCUAGAGAUUUGAUUUCUUCUCUAAUUUUCAUGGUAUAAAAAUUGAAGUUAGAAUUAUUGUCUUAUCAAGUUCAGUCACAUAAUUCAUAAUAAAUCCAAAUUAUUUUGACUAUUUGAAUAUUUAAAAAAAACAAAUAAAGUUUUCUAUUAAUUUAAAGUUCUAAAAAAAAGGAAUUUCCAAACAUAUUUCUAUUUCUAUAAGACCAAAAUGCAUUUUUGUCUUACUUUUAAAAUUUUGGAAAACAAAAACCAAAUAUUGAGAAACAACAAACAAGAGAGGUAAACAGAUUAAUCAAAACUUUUACGAUGCUAAACACAUAGGCAAAAGAAAAUGCAUUAUGCAAGCAAUGGUAGCAACGGUUAUACCAGAAAAACGGAGGUCUCAAGCAUAGCAUCAAUAUCUGCCAAAAGUAAUUUCCCUAGUUUUGUCUCUUCUUGUGGCUAUUACAAGCUUGAAAAUUGAAGGAAUCAAAUUAAUUACCUGAGGUCGUACAAUGCGGUCCAUUUCCAACAUUAUAUCCUCCAGCAAGCAACCCUCUCCACCACUUUUAUACUGAGAAAAUAGACGGUAUGCAUGCAACAAAUCGUAUGUGCGCGGAUAAGUUGAAAAUGGUUCACACCUACAUUAUAAGAGAUAUUAGAAAACCAAACAUUCAUUAAGAAAAACGAAAGAAACCAAACGGGCAGUAAUAAAAACAAAAACAAAUAAACAAACGAACAAAUCUAUGCAUAAGAGACCUAAGACGCUAACCAAAAAAAGCAAGAAAGCUGACCAUGGCUCAUACCUUUCCCGAGACAGCCCCCAAAAGAGUUCUAUUUUUUUUCCCAAAGCAAUAGAAGUGUUUGCAUGCCAAACAGUAUAAUACUUCUAAUAUUUGGAAGAUGUUGGAGAACAAAUAACUUACCAAUCAUGAAAGACACCAACCAGGCCCCGGUCAUAUAUAGCAGAGAGCGUGUUUUUCAUCUUUAUAGGAACUACAUUCAUAACCCAGACUGGAAAAUUGUUCAAUGCCACUGCAAAUCCACCAUAGAGAGCAUUCAUGUCCAUGACAUUUCGAAUAUCAGUUUCACUGACAUUCAUCAGUUUCCAGUACUGGUUAACUUGAUCUUUCCAAUAUAAGGUAUCCAAAUCAAAUUCCUCUUGACUAACACCUGUGAUUGAAGACAACAAUAUCAUCAUAAAACACAGCAAUCAGAUUUUCUAGGUAAGAGAAAAUAGAAACUAAGAAUAAUCGAGGCACUUCUUAGGAAGGAAAACUAACAAAGGUUCACCUCGUACAAUUUGCUAGCUCAAUGGUUUUAACCAAUACCAUUAAUAAAAAAGAUUGAUUUACUCAAGACUGAGAAUAAGAAAUAAUUGGAAGGAAAUCAAUGGGAAUAGAAGCGGUAAUCCUAUGUUUACUUGGAAGUAACUAUAAAUAGACUUAGCAGCCUAUGCGUGCCACUUAUUACAUUAGAAAUAAGAACAAGACAUUACAAUUACCGAAACGUUCCUUCAACACACCAACGAACUAAGAAUAUAUUAAUCAUAAAAAAUACCAAUAGAAUUUUGGGUCGUUUUCAAAUAUAGUAAAAUUAACCAAAAUAUUUACAAAUAUAGUAAAUAUCACAGUCUUUGUCUACAUAUGUCAUGAUAGACACACGCACAAUCUAUUGCAAAUAGUCCUAUCUUGUUAUGUUUGUAAAUAUUUUCAGGAGUGGUAUCAUUUAAAAUUAUUUUCCUAAAAGUUUUAUAUUAGAAGAAUACUUAUUAGUAAUAAAUUUUAAUUUAUUUUAUUGUCCAUAAAUAGUAAUAAAAUAUAUCUCAACACUUAUUUGAUUCAACAAAUAAUAACAAACUAAAAAUAAAUAAUUAACAAAUUAGGUAAAAGUCUGAAAUCAUGGAUAGUAAAGGCUCAAUUGGAGAGAAAAAAAAGGAAAGGAGUGUUGUUAAAUAUUCGUCAUUUUCUGGACAUUCUUUUCAGUCUAAUUUUGAAUUAACAGUUGAGGUUCAAUGAUAAAUAGUCUUGAAAUCCCUUAGAACUUUAAAUAGUGAUAGAUUAAAUAAAUAAAUAAGCUACCAUUCCAAACAGUUUUUUAAAGUGAAGACAACUACAUCAAGUUAUCAAAGUUAUUAUUCAAAAGAAAAACACUCAGGAAAUCCACAAAUAGGCCACCGAGAUAUAAUUUCUGCUUUUGAAUGAGAGCUUGGUGAAUUGAAGAACCAAAAACAACUAGGAGGAUUCCUUUAGAAAGAAAAGGUAUACCUAUUUUCCGUAGAUUCCUUGAAUAUACUGAAAGGCGCUCUGGUCUUGGAGGUAACUUCUGAGCAUAUGACUGAUCAGUUACGUGAAUACAGUUUCUUAAAGGUAUUUUCCAUGAUGGUUGAAAAUCAUCCACAGCAUCACAUAUUUCCACAGCCUUAUUCUCUGCAUUGAUGAUGAGGCAUGCCGGAUUUUCCUGUUUGAUCCAGAUUGCAGUCUGAACCUUUCUGGCAAUGAGCUUCCAGCACAUUGCUGUAGUCAGAUUCACCAGUUUCUCCCAUAUCAUUGGGUAUUCUUUAUCUUUUCUAUAGGCAGGGGGUGCUGAAUAGACAAAAUAUCCAUUUGGUCGCAGAAGCCGAUCAACUUCUUUGAGUAAAAUACCAUCUGCAAGAAUAAAGACAGUGAAAGUUUAAUGACUUUCAAGUAUAAAUCAAAACGGUAAAAUUGACAAGAUUCAGGGUGAAGGCAUAUGAGAGCCUUCAUAAAAAAUUCAGUGUAUCAUGUCACAUUAUCACCCAAAAAGGAAUCUGAACUUAUUCAGCACUGACAAAGUAAACAAGUAGCAACUUUCUUACAGUUGGUAACUAUAAACGUGGACAUGGAUAAUGGCAUUGUGGUCUUCAUUUAUCUUAAUGCUGCUCUAGAGGUUUCAUAAGAUCAUUAGUCCUUUUUCCGUUAUUUAGAAGAUAAACAUAAAUAUUUUCUCUUCUUUUCUUUUUUCCAUCAAGUGACAAAAUUUCUCGUGGAAGAGAUGAAUAAAGAUCAAUGCUCAAAAAUGGCAUACAAACUCUCUAUAGCGCAUAAAGAAAAGUAGCAAGUGAGAAUAACAAAUAAUAAGUAAUGGCUGUUCAUAAAGAGUACUGGAAUACCAUUUUCAUGCCAAUCAACACGACACCUAGAGCAGUGGACCAUCUCAAAGGAACUUGUGGGAUACGGCAGUUGAUUUGUUGCCAAGGCAGAAAUCAUUGCACCAAUACCUCUCUCUAGCGCAAAUUGAAUCUGAUUCUCAUGCCCGUCCUUGGGAGCAAAGGACAUCGUUUGGAUGCCCAAUGAAAGAAGAUAAGCUGAGAAACUAGCAACGCCACAACCAACAUCUAAAACCUGAUAUACUCCAGCAGAGCUCAGAGUGCCUGUAUCAUUUGUAGUCAUGUUUCCUAAUCUGCGUUAGAAUAAAAUUUGAUCAAUAGAACAGUCUGAGAAGAAAAUCUAAUCAGUAAUUCAGAUUGAUCAUAAAUACAAGGAAUCCAUUUUAAUAUUACUUCCCAAAUUGAAAAUCAAAUUAGAACAGCGGAAGGAUGAAUAUGAACCGACUGAUUAAAGGGUAUGAGUAUAUUCACAUCCCAAUAAGGAAACAAAAUAAAGAGGAAAAGGGAAGAUUCAAUAAGAGGCAACAACGCUACCUUUGGAUGUACUCAGGCGCCCCAUGUUUGAAGUGAGUACCACCUCCAGGAAACCACCAUAGUUGGUCCUUCUCAUGGACCCAAUUUUGUCCUCCUUUAACUUCAGCAAGGCGUGUGUGAUUCACAUUACUUCGCCACACAUAAUCCCGACUGGUUGGCCACUUUACUGGGAUCUUGUAGUCUUCUGGUGGAGGUACCAAACAAAACAAGCGGUUAUCAAGUGGAGGGCAGUGCCUCUCGAGCUCUUCUUUUCUUGAAAGAUCCAAUGUAGGAAUCAAUUCUUUUAUGUAAGAAAUGUCGUGGCAAGGAAUAUACUCGGUGUAGUUUAAAGGACAUACAUCCACACCAUUCUCUGGAAUCGAAAGUGGUACCUUCCUGUAAGUGAUUGAAACUUGGUUUGGAAUUGUGGAAUUUCCUGCAGUAUAAGAGAUAAACUUUGAGACAAGGAAUUGAUUGCAACGAUAACUUAAAACCUUUAAAGUUCCUAGAAACACGGAACAAUUUCACAAACCCAGAAGGAACACACAUCAUCUGAAAAAGGGAGUGUGUUAAAGAUGAAGGAUAUACAAAGAACAAGUCAGAUAUUGCUUUGUUAGUUUGACAUUUCUUAGGCCACAUCUUUGACUUGAAAUAAAAUCAACUAAAUUCUAUCAGAGGAAAAAAUCGUCAGAAGACGAAUUUUAAUGUGAAGCUGUAACGUUUCAGAGAGAAGUCAAAUAGUAUAUUUAAGAAAAAAAUAUGUAUUUAUCAUUAAAAUUAAGGAAGACCCAUUUCAUUUACCCACUAGACUAAUUCAAAAUGUUGAAGUGGAUGAAGUUUGAGUUUGAUUCCCCUUCCUCUAAGCAGGAAAAAGUUAGUGGUAACACUAGUCUUAAUCACCGUGUAGAUAAUUAGUUCACUAAGCAUCUCCCUUCCAAGUUACACUUUCCUUUCCCAACUGAUAACGGGUCUUCCUUAAGAAAGUAAAGCAUCACUGCCAGAAACAAAGCAACCACCAGAUAUGCUUAAUUCUCUUAGUCUCUACACUAGUCAAACAAUCAAGGAAAUAAAACAAGCCAUCAACAAACCCAAUCCAGAACGCAGAUAUCCAGCAGAGCACAAGGAAGAAUACAAGAUCCGAAGCAUAAACUCGAGCAUUAAUUGAAUAGAGAUAAAACUUAAAAGCAAAAAAGUUAAUGAAUUUGGAUUCAGUUUUCGAAGAAACAACAUAGAGAGAGGACAGUACCGAGUGAUGAUGAAGAAGUGGAAUUGGAAGGAAGGUGAGAAACGUAAAUAGGAACAUUGUCGCCAAAAAGAGUACCAAAAUAAAAAGAUCCAACCAUAAGUAAGAGAGCGAGCAUUAUCAUCUGCCCUGACUGCAAAGCAAAAAAAUAACCCAAGCCAUAGGAACUGGCCAUUGUCUUCUUUCUUCCCUCCACAGAGCUUGGAUCUCGGAAACGAGCUGGAAAAUUGAAGAAUUCGUCAAGACCCAAAUGACAUUGCCAUUUGAGAGAGAGAUCGGAGUAGGAAUAGCUAUGAAUGUGGAAGUAAUUUGAAGCCUAAAGCUGAGAUUUCAGGAAGAGAAUAUUUUCAGUUUCGAUUCGAAGAUUUCACCGUUCGCUUUCACAAAUCUUCACUUCUUUAAUUUGUAGAGACGACAUACGUAUUCUCCUAAAAUAUUUAUAGUAAAUACUAAAUAAUUUGUUGAGAUACGUUUUUAAUUCUUUUUUUAAUUGUUCUUUUUUACUGUUGUAAAUAUUUUACCAAAUUCAAUAUUUUCUUAAUGAUAUACAAAUAAGGUUUAAAAUAUCAUAUUAUAACCCUCAAAUUUAUACAAAUUUGAUUAAACAUUAAUAAAACAUAUCUUUCAAUAUAUUAUAAAAACAAUUUUACCAUAUUUGAAAAAAAUUAGUCCAUGAUCCAUAAUUUGGAUUCCGACGUUUUUCUAUAACUUGACUUAUUAAAGUAAAAGUGUCUCUACAAACCAACACGAAUCUUUUUAUCAUACUUUGUCAUAACUCACAUAGAAUUAGUCAGAGUUCCUAUAAUCGAACUAUCGUACACCGAUUCAUUAAAAUCUCCCUCUUAAGCUUAGAACAUUAUAUACAUAUAAUAAGAUUCACGAUGUUUAGCAUUUAGAAAUUCAUCAUGAAGUAACAACUAUUUAUCAAAUAUAUUGAUAAGACAAACAACAAUAUCGUUUUAGUAUUAUCAAUAAACAAAAUCAUGAUAUUUUCGAUACCUUAGUAGUGUUUUAAAUACUAGCUUUGACAAUCUUAUCAAUUAAUUUUUUUUUGUGUAAUUUCUAACAAGAACCAACUAAAUAAGUUGCCAAUAUCAUAUCACACAAGUCCCAAUAAGAGAUAAACUUCAUUUUUAUCAUUAUAUUCACAAACAUGUCUUUCAAGAAUAAACAACAAAUUUAAACUCAGACAAAUGUAAUAAUUUAUUUACAAAUCUCCUAAAACAUUCACUUCAAUUUCUAUAAAAUAUAAAAAACAUUCCACAUAAAUUACCAUUUGCACACAACCCUUUGGGCAACUUUCCAAAUCAAAUGAUCCAUGUACAAGUUUUAGAAUGAAUUAUCCAUUAGCUUUUUAUGUUUCAACCUCAUGAAUGUUUAAUUCAUUUAUGUACGGUAUUCAUUCAAUAACUCAACAAUACCACUUUUCAAUCCCUAAACAUAAUUCCAAACAAUGGAUGGUUAAACAUAUAUGCUUUUUAAUUUGAUUUAAAGAGUAUUACUUUUUGUAUUAUGAUCAAUGAUAACUUUAUCUUUUUUUCUCUCUCUUUCGUUCGUAGAUAACAACCUAACAAGCAACGUACACAAACUAGCCAAAAGGAGGGUAAAACUAUUAAGGAUAAAGACAGCCUAAAUGAUUAUAGACUUUCGAACUUCUAGUAUUUAAUGUGCUAUACAGUGGCCCAAUUAAUUCUAAUUAUGAUGACAAUGAAAAAAAACCAAUAAUUCUCACUUUGUUCCUUGACUAAUCUCAUGAGACAACCCGUUUAACCCUACAACAUUUGAGUAUAUAUUAAGAAAAGUUGUAGAAAAUUAAUUAUUUGGUAGGUGGCCUCCAUGAAUUGAACACAUGACUCAAAACAAUCAAAUUCAACCAAAAUAUUUGAGAUUGAUAGGAAAAAACAAACCGAACUCUGAUAGAGCAUAUCAUCAUUCAUUUAAGAACCUUCACGUCAUGAAUAAACUUGAAACAUGCAUUACAAACUUAUCCUAGAUGGGCUUGAAGCACUCAACCAAGACCUCCCGAGUCCGAAUCGAAAGAAGAAGAAGAAGAUGGCAAAGUAACAUAUGUGCUCAACUUUCAACAAGGAACCCGAAGAGAAUGCCAACCAAUCAUGGGAGUGUAUUGUUAAUUGGAAUCAUCUACUUAGCUUUGGCAUAUCGUGUCAAAACUCUACAAUACAUUUACCAAUCAAAACACUAAAUAGGGUUGGAAUUAAUCAAGUAGAUCUUUGAGAAAACAUCACUCACGUAAACACUCUACAAAAUCUAAAAGAGAAAAACAAAAAGAAGAGGAAAGAAGAUAAAAACGAAUGAAAUUGAAAUUAGGAGAGAUGGAUGAGCCAAAGAAAGACUAGUUACUACAUUAUGCUUCUAAACUUGUAAAGAUAAAUAAUACUCCAGCUUGUUUGGGCAGAAGGGACGGCGGUCGGUUUCUCGGGUCGUCUGGAACACCUUUCAGAAACAAAACCAGGUUUUCCCAAUUCGUAGCGUCGUUUCUCAUCGCCGGUUCCGCCAUAUUCAAAUUUCUCUCCAAUUCCGACAGGCAAUUGAUCAAUUACAGGAAAGCUUUCGAAAUUUGAAACUUCCGGCGAUGCCGACUUCUACUGCAGGAAUUGCAGGUUCAGGAGAUUCGUCCAAUACUAUAAUUGGUUCUAGUGCUGAAGAUAAAUCCCUCAAGGAAUCAGCUGCUGCUCAAUCUCAAUAUCGUGCUCAAAAUGAAGUGCAAGAACUUGAAAAGUCUAGCAAACAACUUUAUCCUUGCCAACCGGGAGAAGCUCAGGGUGCUGUGGCAAUACCUGCUGAUCAAGAGACAAACCGAAGUUCCGGGAACGAUCAGAACAUUGUUCCCCAUCAUGGUACGUUUAACAACAUUGCUGUCUCAUCUUCUAGCAACUUCAGGUCGAAUGUUGACGAUGCGAGAGACAUUGACAUUGCUGUUCAGGAUGCCGUGUUAAGGGAACAGGUAUGCACGAAUAUAUUUCAGUUUUUCAAAUUCCUUAAAAAAAAAUCAGCUUAGUUUUGAAUACUAUAAUGUGAUGACGCCUCCAUGUUCUGUUUCACAUUUAAUGGAAGUUUUGGUUAAUCGUCUUUUAAGUUUUUGUUUGCAUUGGUGCUCCCCUUUCAUCGUAUCCGUUCUGAUGGGGACUAAUUUUAUGGUUUUUUAGAGUUCAGAGACUAGAUUUCUAUAUUUUCAAGUUUCUCAAUCUAUACACCCCUAUUAUGAUGAUAAAUGAUAUGGACGGAAUGGUGAGAAAUUUCUUUUGGAAGGGGGAGUCUUUCAGACGGGUAGUCAAUUGACUAAAUAGAGCUGAACUUUUCUGCCUCUUCAAUAUGGGGGUCUUGGGCUGUCUGCAGCAAAGGAACAAGGCCAUGCUCCUUAAAUGGCUUUGGUGCUUCAUCUACGAAGAAACUGCCUCGCAGAGAGUUGUGAUUGCCUACGAAGAAACUCCCCUGUGCAGAGUUGCGAUUGCAAGCAUAUUGGUCUUUGGUGUGGGCUGUCUUGUCUCGAUGAGUGACAAUUAGAUUGAGGGUUGAGAUUGAUAGUGCUUAUUUGUCCGUAUGGAAUUGUAUUUUCAUUAUGAUUGAUACGCGGUAGUAGAGGCUUUAAAGGAAGUAACUGAAACUAUUUCAACGUGCAACCCAUUCCUUGUUGACUAAGAUGAUCUGUGUUGAGCUUGACUUGUAUGGUGAAACAAAGGCUGGGCGUGGUUGUUAAGAAUCUCUAUUGGCACUUGUAGAGGCAGAAUCCUUUUCUUUUGCAUGCAUGGCUAAAGGUUAGUUUAGGUAUGGAAUUCUUAUUAAUUUUUGCAGGAGUCCUUUGCAUGAUCAAAACAUUAGUGCUUUGGAACAGAUUGGGAGAGCUUGCAGGGAUAAUUGCUAUGAAAACAUUAAGGAAUUUAAACCGUAUUGGAACCUCCAUUGAGGUUGAGAACAAUUACUGUGGCUUUAUCCUCGCUGAAAAGUAGCAUAAUGACAUAAUUCGGAAGUUAUUCUAUGGUUAGCGUAGGGGAAUUGUGUGUGUGGUGGGGGAACCCUAAACACUCAUCUUAUAGAUUAAAAAUAUUACUUGCAACUUGUUUUUUUUUAUAGAAUUGACAUGUUGCUGUUUGUGUCCACUGUCCGGUGUCCACGUCUAUGCUUUCUAAUUGGUAGAUUUUGUUGGAGGGAAACAAUGUUUCCAAUACGAAGAGGAAGUUGCACCUAUCUGGGGAUUUUGGUUCUCUUUCAGCUUCCUGAUGGUGCCUCAAGUCUCCCAUACAUUGACAUUGGAGAGAAUUAUAUAUUUAUUUUAUUUCUUCUUGAAAUUUCUUUAGCUCUCCAUUUGUAAUUUUAUUCAUAAGCAAGACACUGUUUCUUAUCUAUGUAACUAAAUUAUUUUAGUUUUCAAACACUUUAAUUAGUUUUUUUUUCCCCUAACAGGAACUUGCUACCCAAAAUAUUAUUCGUAGCCAAAGGUGAUGGUUCUUCAUUUGUUUUUGAGUUAUUACAGUUCAGAUUGAUAAUGAAAACUAAAUAUGUUACCAUCCCCAGAGAUUCCGUGGGUGCAGAUGGACUUCCGGUUGAGCGAUCAGAUAUCUUUUCAGAACGUUAUGACCCGAGUUCUCUUAAAGUAUGUGACUUUCUACCUUUAUACAACUUUUGUUCAUAAAUUUUCUUUAGAAUGUAGAAUAGCCGCAUGCUUACACCCAUCAAUAGAUUUAGUUGUAUGUCAUCACUGCCUCCAUGGUCCCUAUUUAUCUACUUUCAUGAGAAAUAAAUGUCUUAUGUCAAGUUUAUGUAGAUACGAAAAGAGGAACUAGGUUUUGUAUUACAAUUUGAGAACAAUAUUGCACUUUGAUGUUUAUUUUAACAAGCCCAUUUAUAUGAGAACUUGAAGAAAAAAAUUCAUUAGUUAAGGCAGUUAGUUUAACAACUAAAAGGAAACCAAUCCUUAAGUAACUAACCUAACAAAAAGAAAGCGUAAUACACAUAGUAUGUGUAACGUCUGCGUUUAGGAUGGGUACACGUACAUGAAUGACAUGAUAUCGCAUUUGAAUGAGAGUAUGGUUAAAAGUUGUGAAAGUAUGGUUAAGAAUGACUUAAAAGAAUUUAAAGAUAUUAUCUAUACCAACAAGGUGCACCAUCCUUUUGGGUGACUCAAUUAUAGGAACUCAUCCUAGGAAUUUUUCUGGGAAGCAUGUGAGUGAGGACAAAACAUGUUAUAAAGACUCGUGUAAUUGUGUUGGUUUGAUGUAAUAGUCUUCACGCUUGAAAGGAGUUUAAGAUGAGCAAAGAUGAUGUUGCUAGGUCGUAGGGGAUGCAGAAGAAUGUUGGGGCCAUCAUGUGGCGAAUAUGGAUUUCAAAGCUUAGGUUUGCGGCGUUACAGAUGGUAUUAGAGUGGAACCUCUCUUAGUAAAAUGUGGUUUGAGGACGUUAUAGAAAAACUAUUCUAGUGUAGUAUCUAACUACUAGCCUUCUUUUCUGAAUUUAACUUGCCUUCAAGAUUCUUGUCUUCGAAUGAAGCUCAUCUUGGAUCAUGUGGGGAGUUAAAAAAAGAUCAUGUGGGCAUUGGAUACUCUGUCGUAAGAUUGGUUGUAUACUUCUUGAGCAUUUAUCUUAUUGAAAAACUUCUUAAGCAUUAACGCAUGUUAGAAAAUAUUCUUUGUUUUGAAGUGCAACAAACAUGCCUUAACAGAUUAAUAACCUAAAACAUGAGGACUAUUCCCUCCAGCCAAUGACUGUAAAAUUUAACCAGCUAUUAUUGGCUAGUUUACAAAGAAGUCCCACAUCAAUUUCAUGCAUGUUGUCAGUCCUGCCAUUAGAAAAAUUACCAUCAAGUACUGCAACCACUUUCCUAUUCCUAGACUAUCGGAUUUGUUAGAAUAACUAUUUGGAUCCACAAUCUUUUUAAUGAUAAAUCCUUUGCCUCAGCCUGCUAGAGGUGUGAUUUGUUCAACUUUUGGCUGGUCCCUUGCAUUAUCUGAAGAUCCUUUCGUUCUGAUUGCCCUGAUACUUGUCGCCAUUGUCGGUUACCCAUUCAAGGAGGGAGAACAAGAUCAUUUAUCUCAACUUUUCUAGAGCCUUUUAUGGUCUCUGUGGAGGAAUAAACAUAAUUCUUAAGUCUUUAAGGACAAUGACUGAUGGUUCAGCAACGCUUUUGAUUCUCCAUCCUUUUUCAGCUCCCACAUGGUGUAAAUUAGUACCCACCUUUUCUGAUACAAUCUCUUCUCUUGUAGCUCAAAAACUUUUUUUAACUUUUCUUUAGGGUAGGAUCCCUCCCCUUUUUUAUAAUCUCAUCUCAUAAAUACAAUGUUGCUUAUCCAAAGAUAAAAAGGGAGUUACUAUAAUUAUCAUUAUAAAAGAGGAGGUAACUCGGGGAAAGAUGAACCAAAAACGCACAGCCAAAAAUGUGAUGAGAAGGGAUUAUUUAAAUCCUCCCUAAUACCUUACAUCAGAAUCGUUCCUAAUUACCCAUUGUGAGACCAUGGACAUCUGCUUUGCUCUCUUGUUUUUGUUUAUAUUGCAUGACACUGUUAUACAGACAAAGGCUUAUUAUUUGUUAUCAUGUUUUGUAGCUUUAAUUUUUUUUUCUUUAUGCCUUUUAUCUCAGGAGCAUCUUUUGAAGAUUACUUCUGAACAUCGUGCAGAAAUGGCUAUAAAAAGGGGAAAGUUGAAUCUUCCAGAAGAAGGUCGGUACUUUGUGAUAUGGCUUCCUCUUCCUAUUGAUGUUUUUCUCUUCACUUGAUCUUCUUGUGGUGCAAUAGUAGAUGCUUAAGUACUCUAAGGUGAAGAUAUCAAUUGUUGGAUGAAAAGGGUUUAUAGUACAAUUACACAUUGUUAGAGAUAUGUAUGGAAGUGCUUAGGGCUAUGCAAGGAAGAAAUUUCCUUUUAGAGUAUUUGGGUCAACUUAUAAGUAUAAACUAUUCUCAUGGGACAGAUUGUUGGAUGCUACAUCAUGCAGUUUUUGAGGAACACUAGGAUUUUUUUCUCUAAUUGUAGAUAGGUGGCCACUUUGGGACUUGAACCCUUGCCUCAAAGUCCCCAAGUUCUUCAUGAGGCCCUUUACCUCUUUGUAACUCUCAUUAUUGGACCAAGUCGGGUCGAUCUGAGUGAGAAAGGUAAGGCCCAAGAUUGGUUGAACCUCCAAAAUCCUAUUUGAGGGCCUUGCUUAUGCUGACUUAUUCCAUCAAAAUUUGUAUGGGGUUUGGGUUGACCCAUUGGAUGAUUAACUUUUAAAAAUUACUGUGUUGGAAUUUUCUUAAACAAAAUUGUACUGUAACCAUAGGUUAGGUUUCAUUGUACUUAACUAGGGUUCAUCCCUUUAGUGGUACCUCCUUUUUGUUGGCUUAUUUUUUCUAAUGCUCUUGUAUUCUUUCAUCAUUUCUCAAUGAAAAUUAAUGAAAAUUUGGUUCUUUAUAUGAGAAAAAACAAAUUAUAUUAAAACUUGUGAUUUAUAUUUUGUUAUAGAAGAUGCCGACAAUUCUGUGCAUGAGAACAAGUGAAGAAAGGAUUGGUUCUUAUCCUCCUUAUUUUUCCUCGUGCACCUCAAGGAAACAAGUCCCUCGAACACCUCAAGGAAAAAGGCAACAAAAAGGCCAUAUUUGAGUGGAGCCAGGUGCAAUGAAUAGAUAAAUAAAUAAAUAAAAUAUUUAGGUUGCAUGGCUUUGUUGGGCCUAGAUGGUGGGUUAUAACGUUAUAAGCAUAUUUGUUAAAUAAAAUAAGAAAAAGAAACAGAACACCCUAUUAUUUUAAUCAGGGGCCUUGGACUAAGCUAAACAGUCAAAGGUGCAUAGGGCUAGUGCCCAACUGAAAAAUCGCUUGCCCCACUUUCUUUUUCAAUCAUGGGAGAGAGUUUCUUGGUAGGUCAACUUCUUGUAGAUCUUUUAUAAUAGGGAAAGUGAGCACAAUUCAAUUGACAUUAAAAUUUGGUAUCAACCUGAAUGUCAAAGGUCUGAAUCCCCCACCUUCUUGUUGAGCUUUCGACCUUCUGUAACAAUUUGCUCAAGUGUAACAUGGAAUGUUUUUAGGACAGAUGGAUACUGUUGGAAAAUGAUCACAAUGUUGUGUGCUUGAAUUCUUCCUCUUAGGUUUCAACUUCUCUCUUUCAAAAAAUUUCCAUUAUACUGUUUAUUGCAAAUUGGGAUUUCACUUGUUUUUCUUCUUUUUUUUUUUCCUCUUUUGUGUUUGUGGCUUGCAACUCUUAUUCUUGUUUUGUGCAACUUCCUUGUAAUUAUAAUUAUACUUUAACUACUAUAAACGCCAAGUGGGUACCAUUUUUUCUUUUUUUAACUCGGCUUUUUAAUGUAAUUUCAAUACUGUUAAACAAAUUGUCCUCUAUAUCUAGAACAAAAUAUUUUAUGGCCUUUUACAAUUAAAUUUUUUGUAGCACAGAGACCACUUUGAAAGAAUUAAUAAAAUCAGCAGAUAUGUGCCUACUUCUCUAGAUUGUUAUUCUAUAUUGGAGAUUCCAACAAACUCAAACAUAUAAUCUUCCUUUUCCCUUUCAAGGAGAAUGACAUCUUGUUGUCAUGUCAGGGAACUUGGAAAUUGGAAAUGGAUACGGAGUACCUGGUGGAUGUGCUUUCUAUGGUGCUUCAAAGCCUGGAAUUGUUGCCAAUGGUUUAAAACUUAAACCUUUUUCCUUUUGCUUGAUUUUGAUGUUGAUUUCCAGUUGGUUCAUUUGUCCUGCUUUCAGGAAAUAAUGUGACUGGCCAGAAAAUCCAGGGACAGAUCAAGGAAGCAGAACAAAGUUCUGCUUCCAAGGCAUUGCCCGAGUACCUCAAGCAGAAGCUAAGAGCUAGGGGUAUUCUUAAAGAAGAUGCAGAACACAGCAAUUCUGUAAGGGCUGAUGUGCGUAACUUCCUAAAACAUGUCUUGGCAGGACGCCUUAGUUUUAUUAUUUAGCCACAGACCUAUUUGAUCCAUUUAAACCAAUAUUUACUCUUUUCUCGCUGAUGGGGAAACACUUCAAUUUUUUCUCUUUUCUUAUCUUUAAAAAGCAGAUUUACAAAGAAAAGCUUGUGCACCUAAAUUUUGUUCAGAUUUAUAAAUAUCCUUUUGUUUCAAUUUUGAGAUUUCUAGAAUUUGUGUACUUCUGAUAGCAAUCAUAGUUCCAUGGUUCUGCUGAUAUUCUUUAUUCAAUUGCUUCUCUCUUAAAUUACAGACAAAUUCUGACGCUGUUUCAAACACAAAGUUGCAAGGAGAAAAGCUGCCUCAUGGAUGGGUGUGUACUGUUUGCAAUUCCUUUACCAAUUGUGUGCAGUGCUCUCUUUCUCUAUCAAGCUUGUUAGAAUUGCCUAUUGCAACUUGGGAAGGUUAUUUUGUUUGAUAGCUGAGCUGAUUAGGUGGCCUUAGUUUACAUUAUUUUUUAAAUAUUUCCAAUAAGUAGGAAUUUAACAUGCUUAACUAUUUAUUCUGUGGGGUAAUAAAAAAGUAUAUUAAAUCUACUUAGUUAUAAUAUAUCAUACAUUUAUAUAUUACUAGUGUGGUGUUUACUAAAACAGUUAAGUUUGUGAAGUGAACGAGUUUUGUCAGAAUAAUUACGGAAGGUCAUUUUCCUAAGUGUGAGUGAGUAGACCUAGUAUCCACUUUGCGGGAACUUUAUUAUGGAGUUGAAGCGGCCCUUACUGUGUUAGGGACUUGGGGAUUUUAUUUUUGUAAUUCUUUUGAGUCAUUUAAGGUUGUUGGCAACCUCUGGAUUUUGGGUAGCAAAAACAUUAUCAACUCUGGAUGUGAGUAUUGUACUUUCUUUUCAAACAUAAUUUCUAUUUGAUUCUAAGGUUUCCAAAACUAAUACUUUUGGUUCUUAAGAUUUGAAUUUGGUUGUUAUUUGAUUUUUGAGGUUAUAAAAUUGACAUGUCUAGUUUUUUAUAUCUAAAUUUGAUUUCUAGUUAAUCCCUGAAGUUUGAAAUUGGUUUUUAAUACCCAAGUAUAAAAAAUAAUUCCAGCAAUGUCUAGUUAGCAUAUUGUAACUGAACUGAUGUAUUCUGUUAUAUCAACUAGCAGACAAUUAUAUUUAGGGACCAUUUAGGAACCUAUUUCAAACCUUAGGAACCAAUUAUAUCAAAUUUAAACAUAGGAAUUAAAUAUGUUGCUUUUGAAAUCUCAAGGACCAAUUACAAACCAAAUUCAAAUAUCAAGGAUCAAAAGUUCUAGCUUUAAAAACCCAUUGACCAAACAGAAACUUAGUAUCCAGGGACCAAAAGUAAGUUUUUCUCCCUCAAAAAAAAAAAAAAAAAAGAACGAUUCUAAGAAGUUUCAAUAAAAUAUGAAGAUGUGUUGUGAUGUUUCUUGUUUUUGGAAGUUUGUCCUUAGGCCUCCAUUUUAUAAACUUGUAUGCUUCUCUGCAUAGGUGGAGGCUAAAGACCCUCACAGUGGUGUUUCAUAUUAUUAUAAUGAAAGUAGUGGAAAGAGUCAAUGGGAAAGGCCCUCCGAACUUUCUUCUAAUACGCAACUUUCAUCAGCUGUAUCCCUUCCAGAAGAUUGGAUGGAGGCAAUCGAUCAAACAUCAGGUCGGUAAGAGAUUUAAUGAUUUAUGAUGCUGAUAUACCUUCUUCCAUGCAUAAUUUGGAGGAGAAAAGAUAAGAAAUCUGGAGGAAUUACAGCACGAUAAUCCUUGUUGUUUCAGUUUUACCAUACUUUUUCUCAAUGCAUUUAUACAUUUCUGGUUUCCCCUGUCCUGCAUCCCUACCUUUUCUACGAGUCAUUGAUGUGGAGACUGUAGAGUCUAGAGGUUGAAGGCUAGAGUAAUUGGCUUGAAUUGCGUGGAAACUUUUGUAUUUGGCAUCUCAUGAACCUUCUUUAUAAAUUUUGCAAGCCUUGAAAAUGGAAUUAUCCGUUGAGGGACGCUUAUGUCGUGCCUUUAUUAUGUUGUUCUAGUUGUAAUUGGUGGUUUUCCCAACUUCAAUGGAGAAGUGUUCAGAAAAAAGUUGCUGAAUAACAUAAUUUGCAGUUUUGCUCCCAUUGACAAAUUUUCAUACGACCGCAGGCGUAAAAUACUACUACAAUAUGAGAACCCAUGUAACCCAGUGGGAGCGGCCUGUUGCAUCUCAUCAGACAACUUUGACACACUCGAAUGAUAAGUUUCCUGGGCCUUGGAACGACCAAACUUUGGAGCAAAGUAAAUGCAUCACAUGUGGAAGUGGAAUGACCCUCGUGCAGGGUUCAAGAUACUGCAACAGUUGUACAAGGUAAAUGAGAUAGUCUAUAUAUCUAUGCUAAGAAAAUGAAGGUCUUUUCAUUAAGAGACUGGAAAGUACAAGAGAGGAUGCAUACGAGUGAACAAACUUGAUUAAAAGAGAUAUUGCAAUACGUACGGAAAUUUGAGUCCCCCACUCUCCCCUCCCACUAGACUACUCUAAUCUAGUUGGAGGAGUUACAUUUUUGUUAGGCAAAUCGGUUUGCCAUUUUUAUGAUGAAGCCUCUGCAUUAUGUUGUAAGGCAGUUGUUAGUAUUCAGCAAAACCUGAAGCUGGGUUUUUCUUCUAAAGUCAUAUAACCUGCCUCUGUAAGGAUGCCUUGGUGAGCAUUAGUAAGCAUAAAGUUUUGUAGAUUCUUCUGCCUUCAAAUGAGGCUGCAGUAACAUAUCUAAUUUCUAGAAAAAUGUGGGCUCUUCUUCCUUGAUCGGAUUUCCUUCAAGUUUCAGAGUUGCUGUCCAAACAACUUGAUUUCUGAUUUGUGGGAAUAUUUGAGCCAUUCUUGGAAAAAUUACAUUGAGGAGACAUUUGAAGGAUAACGAGAUUAUGCAUUUUUAGUGACCUAAUUUUACUCUUGGAAGAGGUUCAUUUAGCCCGUGGGAUGAUAAAAGAAGUACUGCUGCUUGGUCAUAUGGAGUCCACAAUCAAAUCCCUAAUUAGUAAGCUGUUUGGAAAUCCCAAUGUCCUCUUCCUUGUUUAAAGCUUGUCGUAAAUCCAAAUUUUCAAAGAAAAUCAGCUUCUUUUGUGAUUUUUUAAUGGUCGGACAUCAGAGAAAGCUUGCUUUCAUUGUAUGAUCCCCCUGGCUUGCCCCUUUGUGGUUUCUGGACUUAGAAGACCAGAAGCACUUUUCAUUGUGGGUUUAUUGUUAAAAGGUGGGGGGAAAGCCUCUAUUUUAUUUUCAAUUUUAUCAUUAAAUAUUUUCCAUCUCUCUACUAAAUGCUAUACUACUCGUCAGCCUCUUUUAGAUUCUGACUAAGAGCCCACAGAUACAUCUUACUCAUCCAUCAAGAACAUCCUCCUCCCCUCACCUCACAUUUCCUCUCAUACAUGAUACUUGUUUAUUAGACACAAUUUACUGCUCAACAAGAUGGGCACCCACUAACUGUUUUCUUACUGCAAUUUUAUCUGGAUAAAUUCUCACACUUCGUUCUUCAUUGCAUUGGUUUUGUGUCUAAAUUGACUAGUGGGGUUUCUACAAGUUCAACCAAUGGGAUUUGGCAGGAUCAACCGUCUGAGCAAAAUAAAUGCAUGGGAUGUGGUGGCUGGGGACUAGGCCUUGUGCAAGCUUGGGGUUACUGUAUUCAUUGCACACGGUAUGUUGAUCACUCUUAUUAUUCAGCACUAUCAUGUAGCAUAUCAUUGUAUUUGGUAUGAUUGUUUGUGACUAUGUAUGAACUGAUGUGUGGAUGAAGGUAGUUAGGGUUAGAAGUUCAUUAGCUAGACUGCUUGAGUGAUGCAAUUAUUUUAAUUUAAAAUCCUAGUUGUUUCUAUGACACGUUUACAGUUUUUCAGCCAUUACUCUCGAUAAAUUCAUACAAAUAUUUUUUUUUCCUCAUGGAUUAUGUAUUCGCUUUUGUUUUACCCUCUUUUUAUUAUUAUUAAUAUUAUUUUUUAUUUAUUUAUUCACAACGACUUUCAGAAUUCUCGGUCUCCCCCAGUGCCAGUACUUGCCAACCAACAACAUUAGUAAUCAGCAGAAGAUAGAGAACGUCAAGCAUAGCGCUGAUCCCUCCAUUAAAAAAUCUGUGACAGAUAGGUAAAGAAACAGUCCUCUGACUUCGGACUUAGUUAAGUCGAGAAAUAGGGGAGGAUUAAGUUAUGAAGCUAAUGAGUAUCGGUUGUCAGGUCCAAAUGGAAACCUCCAAUAGGGAAAGGUGGAAAGCGAGAAAGUAGGAAGCGUUCCUACAGUGAGGAUGAUGAAUUAGAUCCAAUGGAUCCUAGCUCUUAUUCAGAUGCUCCUCGUGGUGGCUGGUAUGUCUUCAAAAAUUAGCUCUCUAGGUUGAAUACUAGUUGAUUAUUUAGGCCUCAUUUGACAAAGGUUUUAGUUUUAGUUUUUUGUGCCUAUUUUCUUCCAUUUGUUUAUAAUAGUUUUCAUCUUUCGUAAGAAAUUAUUUAAAUUGCUAUUCAAUUAAGCAAUUGAAAUCAUCGUAAGGAAAUAUCUAAAUUAGCUCUCUGGGUUUAAUUGCUAUUCAAGUUUUUUUAAUAACUAUAUUUUUAAAAUUUCAAGACUUGGCUUGGAUGUUGAAAUCAUCCUUAAAUAAUAGAUAACAAAACAAAGAAAUUCAUAGGAUAGUAGCUGCUUUUAUAAACUUAACAACUAAAAGUCGAAGGGUUAUCAAAUGGGUCUUAGAAAAUCUGUCCAAGAAGUAGAAUGAUAUUAAUUGUUUGUUUUGAUUACUUUUCAGGGUUGUGGGUCUAAAAGGUGUGCAGCCUCGGGCAGCAGAUACUACUGCUACAGUAAGUAGUAACUAAUCAUUUUAGAUUUUUAGCUGUUUGCUGUUGCAACCGUCUCACCUUAUAAUGGGCAAUUAUCAUUUCAUGUAUAGACAUGUUAUGUAGUUUCACAUAUACAAUUUAAAACAUUUCCUUCACAAUGGGCCUUGGUUUUAGUCUGUUUGAUGUAAUGUGCUGACUCUAGCGUCUGCAGUGAACUCUUGACACUGAUUAGAACAGGGGCUGUUCUCUUGUUCCUUAAUCCAAUCCUCAUUGUGUUGGAUCUCAUUUAAAAUAUUUUUUUUCUUAUUAAAUCGAAAUAACUUCUAAUUGGAUAAUAUAUACUUCCUCUCAUCGAUGGUGAAUGGCAGGGUCCUCUCUUUCAACAGCGGCCAUAUCCAUCACCUGGAGCUGUUCUGAGGAAGAAUGCUGAAAUUGCUUCACAGACCAAGAAGGGAAGCUCUCACUAUGCACCCAUUUCCAAGAGGGGAGAUGGAAGCGAUGGCCUUGGUGAUGCUGAUUGAUCUCUUCUAAUUUAUUCUGCUCCGACGAUACAGUGACCACUAUUUAUGUAGUGUAGAAGUACACUUUUCACUGGAGAUGCGACAUAUAUCUUUGACCGUAUAGCCUUACCUGAAGUUAUGGAUCAAAUGCACAUCUCACUUUCUGAAGGAGAGGAACGUGGCUGUACGAUGGUACGUUUCUUGUAUAUAUACUAAUUACUAUACUUCUAUAUGGAAAACUUGAGUCGUGGACAAAACGGUCAAUGAGGCAGAUUUUUAACCUUCACAUAUGUACCAGAAGAUUUGAAUUACUAGACAGGAGUAGAAAAUUCAAACUUAUUGUAUUUUGUUAAAAUGUUACAAUAAUUUAACUUAACGUCGACUAUACGAGACAAGCUUAGAAGUUUAUUAAUCCUACAAUUAUGCAAACUCUAAGUUUACCUUUCAUACUACUUCGAUAACUUUUGAUUUUAUAUUUCAUUUUUACUUUUGUACAUUAUAAUUUCACAAGUUAAACACUGUUAUUCAAACUUGAGGUUAUCGAUUCUGAAUUUUAUAAUUUAGAUGAAUUAAGUUGGUAAUAUGAAAAGAGAUCUCGGUGUUACACCGCCUUGUUGGGUUGCUUUUGGAUGGUUCCCUGGGAGUUCAGCCAAAGUGAGAUGGCAUUAGUUGUUUGUUGCUGAUGGAGAAUCAAUAUUUCAAAUAGAAAUAAGGAGUACAGUAUUUCUUUCUUUACUAUAUGAUAAUGGCAUGUGAUUACAUUGGUCUCAUCUGUUUGUUUACUUUCCAUAUUAGCUUAUUAUUGGGACCAGCUGUCUUACUAUAGAUUGAUCAUCAAUGUGAUGAUGUGUAUGUUGGUUACCUAUCUUUUCAAAUCCUCAAGUCAAUAUAGUAAAAUGACUUAUUACAUUACAUGAAUUGGAUUAUCAAUUUUAGCUGAUUACAUACCUCCUUAACACCAAUGAAGAUACUUAAACUAGAGAUUUCUAUGGGCCACGAUGGAAGACUUCCACAUUCUCGACCCCAUCAUAUUUCAAUCUUCAUCCUAUGAAUUGUUUUUCAAUAAUUUUGAGGAAAGUGAAGAUCUUUGCGAGGAAAUUAAACAUAUCAUCUUAUUUCUUUCUUUCUUUUACUUUCAAUCGAAAUAUAUAGUUUUUUUUUUUAAUUCUUUAAAUUGAGCAUUUUUAAUAUUAUUUCUAUUCAAAUAAUGCAAUAUAAACUUUUCUAAUAAAAACAAUAAUUAAAAUGUUAAAUUUCCAUAAUGUCAAAAAAGUUGAAUGCUGAAUUAUUACUACUUUACAGUUUUUCAACUUAAAUAUUACAAAAUUAUUGUUUUAGAGGUAAGUACGUUAUAAUUAUCCUAGAAAAUAUCUAUAUAAUUAAACAAAGGCAAAAACAUACAAUUAUCCUAGAAAAAAAAUAUAUAAACAAGGAAAAGGCAAAAUAAUUUGUUGUAAUUCAUAUCUCUUCCAUGAAAGGAAGAUAGAAGAAGUUGGUCGAUUAAAAAAAAAAAAGAAGAAGAAGAAGAAGAAAAGAAGAAAGAAAGAAGGGAACAAAUGUAAAAUAAGGUGAAUUUGAAUGAUAAUAAAAAAAUAAAAGAAGUUCAAAGAUAAGUAAAAAAUAAAAAUAAAAAAUUAAACUAUUAGUAAAAUAUAGACAACAAAAUAAGUUAUGUGAAAAUAAUAUCUAUUUAAACUGAAUUUUAAAAAACAAAAAUAGUAUUUGAGUGUAAAAAAGAUCAAAAUUUGAGUGAGAAAUGAGUAAAAAGUGAAAAUGAUAGCAUUAGAAAAAGAAGAAGAAGAAAUAAACAUAAAAAAUAGAAAAGUGAAAACAAAAAUGAUAUAGAAAACAUCCCAAAAACUUUUUGUAAUGGAAAAACGUGUCCUUCAAAUACCAAAGUGUUGGAUUUAUUGAAAGUCCAGCUUCGUGCUUCUUCUCUACACUCAAAAGGAUAGAGAAAACCCAAAAAAAAAAGAAAGAAAACUUUGGGAAUAAAUUCCAUUUUCUUCACUCUCCAUCUCCAUCUUCAUCAUCCCCCAUCUUUAGGGUUCCCUUCCCAUCUUCUUCCUUCUCUUUACCAUCACUUCACAUUCACAAAGGUGCGUUUUUUUUUUUUUCCCAUUUCAAUUUCUUGCUUUCUGUACUUCUCUAUUCCCUCUGUUUCUCCAUUCUUCACUGUGUUCCAUUGCCCGCUUUCCACUUUUUAUCUGAUGGGGCUCAUUCUGUUUUACAUUUUAAUUUAAUUGUUCUCAAGGUGUAGCCAAUGCUUGCAAAUUUAAGUUGAAUUUCCUGUUAAUUUCUGAUUUUGAUUCUCUUUUUUUUCUUUCUUUCUUUUGACUUGAUGUUGUUUCAACUAACUUCAUUGACUUAUUUAUUCGUUUGUUGAAGUGGGAAAAUUGAUUCCUGAAGUUGGUUUCACUUUUAUGGUUUGAUAGUGCUAUUUUUCAUACUUGAACAGUGUCACUGGAUCUAGGAUCGAUAUGUGUCUCAUAUGGUACAAACCCAUUUCUAUGCUAUUGUUGGAGUAUUGAUAUGAUUAAAUUUAACAUAAUCCAUUAGCUCUAGUGUUUGGAUUGAUGGAUGUCAUUUUUUCCUCAAUUAAUUCUGAUUUCUAUGUUGGAUCUAGUGAAGCAGUGUUGAAGUAUUGGUAUAAUUAAAUUUACUAUAACCCAUUAACUUAAGCUUUUGGAUUUAUUAGUGAUUUAAAAAUUAAGAUCUAAAAUGAUAAUGAUUCAUAUUGCUACUUUGGUGAUUAUCUUAGAGAAGUAUGCUUUGCUUAAGUUCUUGGACUGAUACUCCUUGGAAUUACCGAAUGGAAAAUCAGACAUUUUCUAGAGCUUGAUUUUAUUACGAACUAUUACUCCAAUGUUCCAAAGCAUUUUUGAGGUGAAGUUGUUCUUACACUAGCCUAUCCAACCAAUAGGAUGCUCUCUCGCACAUUGAACUUCCAAAUGCUUCUUCAAGCCCCAGAAAAUGUACUCUUACUGAUAUAUAUUCCUAGAUAUGUGGAUGUGCAUCAUCCAUUACAUAUUCAUGAUCGAAAUAGAAGCAAUUUGGGUUUGAAAUGUUUAAACUGCAGCUCUUUUGAAACCAUCAUUGGCGGCCUAGUGGUAAAUAAAAAUCUUGGGUUUGAUGAAUGACUUAAGAGGUUAAUUGAUCUAAUCUAGAAUCUGUUAUUUCAGAGCAGAGUUCUCAAACUUUUGCAUCUUGUGAUAAAUGAAACAUGCAUAUGAUGUGAAAGUACUUAUUUUGUGCUGAUUAAUUAAAUCCAGAAGUAAAAGGACAAAAGUCACCCAAGUGUUUUCUUUGUCAGCUGAGUACAUAACUCAGGCUUGAGAUUAUUAAACUUGAAAGUGACAAGAUUUAUAUGUAGCAAGCUAACAAUUCAAUACGUAAAGAAUGAGGUAUUUCACGGUUGAGACUUGCAGGGAAGAGAAGAAGGAUGUCGACUGCAAACACCCAUUGGUGUUACAGAUGCGAACAGCCAGUUCGACUUCGUGGGCGAGACAUGACUUGCCUUAGCUGUAAUGGAGGAUUUGUUCAAGAACUGGAUGAAAUGAUGGAAAGAAGUCCCCUUGAUUUAUUUGGAGCCAGUGGUAAUGAAUACCAAAACCGCAGGCUAGGACUCUUGGAGCUUUUCUCAAACUUUAUGAGGCAACGAUUGGUAGACAGAAAUGAUAUCAGGGGAAGGUUGGACUCAAUUCCAGAUCAUGGUCCAGGAUUUGGUCCUUGGUUGAUCUUUGGUGGCCAAAUUCCUGUUAGAUUGUCUGGACAUGGUGGAUUUGAAGCGUUUUUUAAUGGGGUACCUGGCAUUGGUGUGAGUAGGAGCAAUGGUGGUGAUUAUUUUAUUGGUCCUGGACUUGAAGAAUUGUUUGAGCAGCUUUCAGCAAACGAUCGACGAGGGCCACCACCGGCAUCAAGAUCUUCGAUUGAUGCAAUGCCUGUUGUUAAAAUUACACAAAGACACAUUCGUUCCAAUUCACACUGUCCUGUCUGCCAAGAUAAAUUUGAAUUAGGAUCUGAGGCUAGGCAAAUGCCAUGUGACCAUAUGUAUCAUUCAGAUUGUAUUGUUCCAUGGCUAGUCCAGCACAACUCCUGCCCUGUUUGCCGCCAAGAACUGCCUGCACAAGGGUCGGGUAGUAGCCAUAGCUCAUCUGGAAGCAACAAUUCUAGUCGAAACAGCCGAGAUAGGGAGAAUGGUAGAACGACUCAAGGAAGGAGGAAUCCAUUUACAAGUCUUUGGCCAUUCCGAGCAUCAAGCUCGAACUCUAACCAUAGUGCUACCACUGGAAGCAACUCACCAGCUCUACACGAGACUAACCAACACGAAACAGGGUACUACGGAUGGCCUUUCGACUAGCAUCAACACUGCGUUCCUAAACUUGUUUGCAGCAUUCAGUUUUUGUGAUUGUUAUUUAAGAUGAUGAAAAUAGUUCAAGCCCUGCAGUCCACUCUCUUGUAUAAUAAAUUGAUAAUAAUGGACUUCCUGUGUGAUGUAGACGACAUUUUUCUAUUCCUUAUCGAUGCUGCUGGAAUUUGUAUAUGCUUCAUGUAUAUUAGCAUGGCGUUUCUUUCUAGAGUUGCAGGUGGUCGGGAAAUCUGUCUGUUCAAGUGAGGAUUGCUGAAUCUUCUUCAACUGAAAGUUAAAACGUCCAAAUCAAGCUAUUCUAGUAUCUACUCAAAUUGACCAAUGUUUUCCUUAUGCAUCAUCAUUCAUACUAAAACUGUACAUGUUUUUCUAAAAGUAGAGGACAACAUAUUUUAGCAUUUAAGAAAUCUUUCAAGAUGGAUUGAGGAAAAAAGAAAAAAAAGGAAUGAGAUCUGAGAGUUACAGAUGCAAGAAAAAAAAGAUAAAAACGUGAUCCAAUAUUUGAGAUCAUGUGAGUUCUUAUACUUGAACAGUUUGGUUCUUGUACUUUGGAAAGUUACCAGGGUUCAAGGUUCAGCUUUUCAAAAAGUAUACAACAGUUCUUUAGAAUCUUUUUCUUUUGCCACGUACUAUUCCAAACAUAAUAAAAACGAGUUGCGAAUGGACAUGUAGUCCUCUCAAACUUAAAUUUAAAUUUAUUUAAAAAUUUAGAUCUUUGUUGUAUUUUGUUAUAUUAAAAAGGAAAAAAAGAGUGUUUUACAUAUAAAAAAUUAAAAGGCAAGCAUGGGCAAAUAUAACAAGUUUUGGUGUGAAAGUGUUGGAACUUUUAUCUCCUUAGUUUCAAGUUUGAAUUCUAGUAUGUUACAUUUCGAGUUUGGUUUUCAUUUAUUUUGCUUUUGAAGAUUUUAAAAUUAAUUAUAAUAGUAUUAGAAAAUUAGUGGAAAAAUAAUAAGUUGAGAGUGUAAAUCUUUUAAAACUUAAGCGUUGAAAGCAAACAAAAAAAAAGAGUAACUUUUUAAAAUGAAUAUAGAGAAAAUGAAGUAUAAAAAAUGUAUACAAAUUUAAAUUACAAAUUUGAUUAAUUUGAUUGCGAGACAGUUUUAACAUAUUUUAGUUAUAAAAGGUAACGAUUGUGUACUGCCAAUAGGAAUAAGGAGAGGGUGAGUUAGUUAAAAUAAUGAUUAUUGUUAUUGUUAUAACUUACAAGAAGAAAGAUAUUGAGAAUUCUUUACCAAUGAGCGAGAAUUGGAGUAAAAUUUCAUAUGAUUCUAGAAAACAAAGUUCAUAAACAAUUGCACAAACUGUGAAUACUGUCUUCUUUUUCAUUUAAGUUGGAUACAGAUCGCAGUUUUGGUGCCUCUUGAAAAAAGAACGAACAAAGCUUACUACAAACAACUUCAAAUCAGAACCAAUUUCAAAUGCAAAUCUUUUUGUAAGAAAAAAAAAUGCUCAAAAGAGGGAACUACAGCUACUAAAUAUGUCGGCUACUCGGUUAUUGGAGAACAAACAGACAUACUCUUCUUUCUGGAUAUCUGGAAUAAGGGAAUGAUAAAUGUUGCUUCAAUCUUCAUAAAACUCGGCCACUGAUUCAGUUGGCACUGGCGAGUUGAGUUCGGAGGAGCUUUGCGGCAGCAACCAUGUUCUUGAGAGCAGGAUUCACCUCGGCGUACUUGCGAGUUUUGAGACCACAGUCUGGAUUGACCCACAAGAUGUUGGUUUCGAGCACUGCAAGCAUCUUGUUGAUUCUGUCUGCGAUCUCUUCUGUUGAUGGUAUUCUAGGGGAGUGAAUGUCGUACACACCGGGGCCAAUUCCAGCACCAUACUUGACUCCCUCACGGAAAACUGACAAGAGCUUCUCGUCGGAGCGAGAGUUCUCAAUGGUGAUCACAUCAGCAUCCAUAUCGAUGAUGGAUUGGAUGAUGUCGUUGAAGUUAGAGUAGCACAUGUGAGUGUGAAUCUGUCAUGUAAUCAUUAGGUGAGUUUAACAUAUUAUGAACUUGUUGAAGGGGUAAUGAAAAUCCCAAUUGGUUAGUGAUGUAAACCUGAGUUGUGUCUUGGACACCACAGUUUGUGAUACGGAAAGAGUGAACAGACCAAUCCAAGUAGAAAGCAUGCUCAGACUUCCUUAGAGGUAAUCCUUCUCUUAAAGCAGCCUCAUCAAUUUGGAUGACAUUAAUGCCAGCCUUCUCGAGAUCCUCAACCUCGUCCUUGAUGGCCAAAGCGAUCUGAUAGCAUGUUUCGAAUCUAGAAGAUGAUAAUGUACACGAGAAGGAUUAGCCAUAAAGUCUGGUAUAAACUAUAAAGGGGAAAGAAAACAACUACAGUAGUUUCUUUCAGCUUGGAAACAUUAUCUUUCUUCUAUUACCUUGGCUGGUCGACUCUAACAAAAGACCAGUUGAGAAUGGUGACGGGGCCAGUGAGCAUUCCCUUCAUUGGGCGGGCUGUCAUGCUCUGAGCCAUGGUAGACCAGAAGACGGUCAUGGCUUUUGGGCGGCUCACGUCACCGUAGAUGAUUGGAGGCUUCACGCAACGAGAUCCGUAUGAUUGCACCCAACCAUUGACGGUGAAUGCAAAACCAGACAAUUGCUCCCCAAAGUAUUCAACCAUAUCGUUUCUCUGCAGUGAGGAUGAAAUUCAUAUUAGAAGAGCCAAAAUGAGGAGAAGGUACUACAACCUCCCUCGACAAAAACAGUGCUCUUGAUUUUCUGCUAAAUAGGCUCCAAAUAACUCACCUCGGGCUCUCCAUGAACCAGGACAUCAAUGUCGAGCUCUUCCUGGAGCUUGACAACCUUGCUAAUUUCUUCCUUGAUUGCCUUCACAUAUUCCUCCUCAGAGAUCCUAAAGAAUGGUAAAAAAAGAUGCAAACAUUAGAAACAGGGUUAAAGUAUUUAUGAACUUCAAGGAAAGCUGGUAUCAAUUUUUACUCACUUGUUAGCUUUGUAUUCACGACGAACCCUCCUGAGUUCAACAGUUUGAGGGAAAGAACCAAUGGUGGUGGUUGGAAGGAUUGGGAGAUUAAGCUUCUUCUGUUGAGCAUCGAGCCUUGCACUAACGUUUGUUGCACGGCGGUGAUCAGAGCCCUUCAAAGCAGCAGCCUGCACAAUCAAAAAGCAAUUAAUCAGUUAAUGAAAUCCCUGCAAACAGAUAGUUAAACACCUUAAAGAUAAGAAAUGAUUGUACGGACCGCUUUCUGAACAGCCUCAUUGGUCACCCUUGGGGAUGACUUCCUUGAAGCAUGAGCUUGAGCGUUAGAAGCAAAGAAUGCCUGAAAAGAAAAUUCCAAUAAGCUUAUGAGUUUGUGCCCAUCAAUUUCAAAAGGGUUAGUACCAAGGGAAGAACGUUCAAGAAAUAAUCUAAGUUACAACACAAAAGGUUAGAAAUCAAGGCCUAAAAACAUAGAAUACACCUUCAAUAGACAAAUGUCAUCCGAGUCAAGAAUAUACCUCAUCCUUUUGACCAGCCAAGGCCUUAGCCAAUGCAUUAACUUCAACAAUCUUUUGAGCAGCAAAAGCGAGCCAUGAUUUGAUUUCAUUGUCCAACUUGGUUUCAUUGACAAGGUCAACAGCAGUGUGAAGAAGUGAGCAGGAGGUGGAGACAACAAGAUGAUCUACAUAGUUUUUUUGGAUGAAGAAGGAAUGAGUAAAUAUGAACUCUCAAAUAAUAAUAAUUAAAUCAAGCAUCAUGAACCAACAUAGUAAUACAAAUGUAAGCAAAAGAAUAUCACCUUUACCCACAAGGGCAGUCAAUUCCUCCAAUGUGCUAACUGAAGCAGCAAGAUCAUUGGCCCAAAUGUUCCUUCCAUCAACUAGUCCAGCAAAAAGGUAUUUUCCCUUGGGGAAAUCACCCUUAAUCAAUUCAAGUGUCUUAGUUCCACGAACCAAAUCAAAUCCAUAGCCAGUGACACCCUUCAAAGAAGUAAGGGUCUUGUAUGCCUCAGCAGGGACAUCAGCGAAGUAUGUCUCAAUAAGAACAUUCAAGCCAGAGAGAGAUGAUUCUAGUUCAGCAUAUGCAUCGGAGAAGGCUUUCAAUUUGUGAGAAUCAAGGUCCAACACCAAUGUAGGCUCAUCAAACUGGAUCCAAGAAGCGCCAGCUGCUUUAAGAUCAGCAAUAACCUCCCUGAAAAGUUGGGCACCAUAUUAAUAUGUGAGAAAGAGAAUCAUUAUAGAAACACUAUGGAAAAUCUUGAUAGAGUGACGAAUUUUACUUGUAGACAGGAAGGAUCUUGUCAAGAAGGGAGAGGAGAGAGAAUGUCUUGUCAACACCCUUUGCAGGUUUGGAGAGCAACAAGUAUGACACGGGACCAACGAGAACUGGAACAGUGUCUACUCCAAGCUGCAUAAUCAAAAAAAUAUUUUUUACCUCAAUUCUUUGGUACUUGUAUACCCAAAUCAGAUUUCAUAGUCCUAAAAGGUAUACGCUCGUCUAAGUCAUUGAAGCAUGUCAACACAUUCAUAAUACAAUGCAAUCUGUUUUUUGCAAAUAUUAUACCGAAAUUCCACUCCAUGUGACACGGAUCUAUGGCCUAUUUCCAAUAACUUUAAUUAGGGACAGUGUUAAAUAUAGCAAUCAGACCCAAACUAUUAACAUAUAUAACACAAAGCAAAAUAAUUUAUCAAUACAACCAAAUUUAAAUCUAGCUCUCAGAAAUAGGAAGUCUAUUGGCGAUAUAGUUUAUUGAUAGAUUUUGCCAUACUUACAAUUCUUUAAAAAUGUUAUUAUAUACUUAACUAUUAACCCUAAAACUGCUACUCAAUGCAAUUAUCCCUUUAAAAUAAUUAAAUUCUCAAUUCUCAAUCAAAACUUCUGUUUCAAUUUUCCAAUGUAUUAUAUAUCUUAUUUUAUGAACAACCAACGCAAAUACCAGAUUCAACAACUUACAGCUUUGGCUUCUUUGUAUUCGUCCACUGCCUUAUGGGAAGCAUAAGAGAACUUCACCUCUGGUCCCAACUCAGGAACAAUGAAGUGGCUGCAUCAUUGAAUUGGCAACAUUAAUUAUACUGAUCUCAUUACACUGUCAUUGCAUACUAACAAAAGUAAAAGGCUAAGUGGGUUACUUACUAGUUUGUGUCAAACCACUUGGUCAUUUCCAUAGCUGGUACAGAUGCAUUUCCUCUAGCCAUGGAGAAGUAGGUAUCAAACCCAAUCUCACCACCAGUCCAGUUAUAUCUAGGAGGAACAGCCCCAAGCAAUGCAGUGGUGUCAAGCACCUGAUCAUAGCAUGAAAAAGUGUUGCUGGGAAUGUAUUUGAUCCCUGCAUCAGACAUCUGUUUCCAGAUGGACGACCUCAGAUCUGCAGCCACCUUCUUCAAAUCCUCUGCUGUGCUCUUCCCAUCCCAAAAUGAUUCAAGAGCAAACUUGAGCUCCCUCUUGGGACCCAUACGAGGAUAUCCAACGAUGUGAGAUGCCAUUGUUCUGCUCAAGAGAUCGCGGACGUAACGAAAUUCAAUUAGAUCCUCUCAACACUACUCUUAUCUCAAAUCCCAAAUCCAAUAGUCAACAAGUAACGGAAACAGCUAACACCAUGUUAAAUUAAAAACGCAAUACGAAAUUCAAGCCAGUGAAGAAGACUUAAGAACAAAGGGUUUGUAACACAUGCAGCAAAGAUCCAAUGAGUAAAGUUCACAUAAGCUAACAAUUCAGACCCAGAUAGAUCUAAUACUUAAAAUAGAAAACAACCCAUUAAAAUACAUCAGAUCUAGGAACACAAGUCUUCCAAGAAAACAAAAAUCCCACCAGAUCUACACGACAAUACUGUAAACACAAAAAACAGAGGAAGGAAGUAAAAUUCCGAACAAUCCUUAAGCAGCAGCAAUUAGAAGAUGAAAUCCAAAAUGGGUUCAGGGCAAAGUAUAAAAAAGAGUUCAUAACACAGUGGAUCUGAAUCCCAAAUUACAGGAAUGCCAGCAUACAUUGACAAAAAAAAAAAAAAAGAAAAAAAAAGUGAAAUUUAGAGAAACAGAGGAAUGGGAAAGCAUGGAAAAAACGGGUAAGGGAAAAGAGAGAAAACGGAGGUAACCUUGAGGAAGUGGAACACCGACAGAGGCUCCCCAAGGAGAAAAGAAAGAAAUGCGAGAGAGAUAAGAGAUAGGGAAAGAGACGAUGAUACUGGGGGAGCCACAAAUAAGAGAGAAGGCGCGAGUUGGAAGAAAUGGGAAUGAAGUUUAUUUAUAGAGAUCAGAGAUGAUGAGGUGGCAGAAGCAGAUCUGGGAUAUCGGAAAGUCACAGCCGGAGAUUGGAUGGUAGCCGGUGACAGACAACCAAAUGUGUAUUUCAUUUUGGUUUAAUUAUUUAUUUUGUUCUAGUGGUACACCGAUCAAUUCUCAUUUCCUAUACUCUAAAUUACUAUACAAUAUUUGACUUUCAACACCAAAUGUAAAUGAACACUUUUUUAAAAUUUGAUGAAUUUGUUCAUAACUCACAAUUAAACCAACAUAUAAUCAGCAAAAACUUUAGACUUAACCAUUACCUACUAAACUAUAAAUGUUAAUUAAAGAAAUGAAAGUAUUGAAAUAUGAGUUUUAAUCCUUCAAUGAUUUAUUAGACAAUAUAUAUAUAUAAUGUGUAAUAAAAAUGAAAAGAAAAAAAGAAAAGAGAGAGAAAGUUUUGAGUAGGAGAAGAUGGAAUGAGACGCGUGAAGUUGGGGGCGUGGGAGAGAGGGAUUUAAGGGAAAAGGCGUAAUGUGGAAGUGAGGAAGUAGUGAGGGAGUGAGGGAGUGAGUGGCCACCACCAUUUCUUUUUCUUUAUUUUGCGUCCGAGACAAAUGCUGUGCUUCUCCCUAAACUUUCACCUCACCAAUCUCAUUCUAAUUCAAAUUAACUCAAACAUUAUUCAUCUUUUAAAUUGAAAUGCUAAUCCAUUCAACUUUUAACAAAUCCUCAUUCAACAUUCAUUUUCAAUCAUCUUUCGACAGAGAAGAAAAAUAUAACAUAUUUAGAAUGGGAUGAAUCAAGAUUAAUCUUGAUCUAAUUUGUGUUUUGAUUUUUUUUUUAUUAUUAUUAUUAUUAUUGUCACUAUUAACGUUAAUAUUUUAUAGAAAAACUGCACAUUUUUAAUUAAUUGAUUGAAAAUCGACAACAAAAGUUAAACGAAAGUUUUUCUUACCUUAGAGGUAAAAAUGUAAUAUUUUAAAUGUUUGGGACCAAAUGGCAUACUCUACACUCAAUAUUAGAGAUGAGCAUAUGGUGGAGGAGUGGGGCUGAGGUGAGUUUCCUAUUCUUGUCCUGACAUCCUUUCUCCCUUUUUCAUUCACCAUUUAAGCAAAGUUUCUUAUCGUUUGACAUUUGUAGGAAACUCCAUUUUAAUCAAUUAACAUAAAGAACUACUAGAAAAGUUUUAAGUUAAACAACUCAAUUUCUCUCUAAACUUUUAAGUUUGGAUUUAAAGAGAAAUUACUCUAAUAUACUUGCAAAAUGGAAUCAUUAAUCGAUAAAAGUAUUCAAAUAUAAUGUAAAUUUGGUUAAUGCACAUUUAAUAUUUUGUUAGAAAUCGGAUGUAGAAAUUAAUUCUUACCAUCUAUUGCUAUAGUAAAUUAAGAUAAAACAAUUAUUAUUAAUCCUUAUCAUAAUUAAUUGUUCUAAAAUGAACUUUAGUAUAUAUAUUUAAAAGUGAAAUUACAAGUUUUUUUCUUCCAAACUUUUGUCAAAUAACAAUUCUUUAUACACUAAAAAAGGCCAAUACUAUUUGCAUCGGGAGAGAAUUAAUAAUAUGUAUCAACUACAAUACAUUUUACUAUUUACGUUACAAUAAGUUAGUAUUUUUCUUUUUUUAAAAAAAAAUGGUUAAAAAUAGAAAACUAUUUACCUUUAAAAGAAAAAUCAAGUAUGGUAGAUUUUAUAUUUUAGCGAUUUUAUUUAUAUAUAUAAAAAAAACAACAACAAUUAAAUAUAACUCAUGCCCUCCUCAUCAUAAAACCUUUUAGAAAAAAGGAAGACAAACAAAAGCUCAAAAAAGAACUCCAAGUAGGAAAAGAUGGCCAAUAUGAGGAGCAAGUGUGUAAAAAAAGAGACGGAUUCGAGUAUUCGUGAAAUGUUGAACAACAACGAAUUUUCAUAGUUAGAGGAAAGAUAGGGGAGAUUCGAAAUAUAUAAACAAAGCUCUCUUCCAUGUCCAAGCAUGGUUGAGGCAUAAUUUUAAUAUGUACAAUGAGUUGUCUCUCAAGUUUUUUUAAAAAAAGAAAGGUUAUAUGGAUGAAUUUAUAAACCCUAAAAUUGGGAAUGCAAGUGAUGUGCACACGCUUGUAGAACGCGUGGCAUGAGAGGAGAUUUUGCCAUUACAUGUUUUGUUGUAUAAAAUAAAUUGGAAUUUUUUUUUUUUUGUAAGACUUUUUAUUUACUUAUUUAUUUAUUUGCAAAAAUCAAUAUAAAAAAAGAAUGUCAUAUUCAGAAAAUUAGGAAAGCAAAGGAAAUUAGAAAAAGAAAUAAAGGAAAGCAAACGCAUUUGGUGGUUGAAAUUGAUUGGGGGAUUGGUGGUGGAUGUGACUCUAAACAACUCUUUUAUAUAUCUACCAGUUGGUUGCAGAUCUAUCUCUUCUUCUUUUUUUUUUCUCAAUUACCAAUUUUAUGAGUUAAUUAAAACACUUUCACAACUCUAUACUUAUUUAGAAGGAUUUAUUAAACACCAAAUUAAAAAUUCAAACACUUUUGAGAAAUAAGAUUGAGGAUAACAAUGCAAUCGCAUGAGUUGGUAGAACAAGUGUCAUCGUCUUGAUUAACUCCUUAUUGCCACUUUGUAGAUAUGAAUUUGUCUUUUCAUCUUCUUCUAAGUCAUUUUCUUAAUGUAAACAAAUUUAUUUUUAGCACACAUGCAUCAUGAAAUAACUUAGGUUUCGUUUUAUAACUAUUAUUAUAUUUUACAUAGUUUUGUGAAGUUAGAUAUGUUUUAGUUUUAAUUUGUAUUUUAAAUUUGUUUAUUUUCAAAGGUGAUGGAAUAUUUUAAACUUUACUAAACAAAAGAAAAAAGGUUAAGAAUGUUUAAUUUCCAACCAAACCUACCAAUCCUUACCCAAACUAGGUUGAUUAAUGUUAUAAAAUACUGAUACAAAAGUUAUAAUUAAUAUGGUAUUGUAAUAUAAUAGAUUUUUUAAUAGAAUUAAUUAGUAUUGUACACAAGCUAGAAAUGUCCUUACAAUGAAAAUUAGAAAAUGGGUCUCUUUUCUAUUGAAUAUUUAUAUUCCUUAUAUAUGUGUAUAGUCUUUUCUUAUUCUUAUUAGAAAUAUUGCAUUGAUGUAAGGUGUAAGUUGAAGCAGUAGAGAUGUAGGUCUUGGUUAAUUAAUGAACUAAAACUCAUAUUAAACCAAUAAAAUGAAAACAACAAUCAUUUACUCUGAUUGUGUAAUAGUUUAAUUAAAAAAUGACAUUUGAAUAAGAGACAAUAUUGAUAUUAUUGAUUCCAUCUAUGACUUAUAUAAGGUAGCAUAGAAAUUGAACUUUCAAUUUUGUGGUUUUGUUAGUUAAAUUUUAAAAUUUAACUUUAUGAUUAUACAAUAAAAUUUAUGGUAUUGUAUAAGACACUAAAUAUUAAGAUCUUUAAAUCGAGUGAUUUUCACUAUUAUAAUAAUUCUAUUCCAAGGAUGGUUUAAGAGAUUGUGUUUGUAUAUAUAUAUACUUUUGCUCAUGCACACCAUAGCUAUGCAAAUUAAAAACACUUAAAUUAUUAUUUUUUGGAUUACUAAGCACCUUAGGUCAUAAUUGGUGUAAUCAAAGUAAGUAUUUUAUUAAUGGGUGAAUUUGGAUGAUAGCAUUUACCUAGAAUUAUAAAUUUAUGGUUCUUACAUAUUAACUUUAAUAGUUAACCAAAUAGUAAAGGACAACAAUAAAUGCAACAAAUUAAUUGACGGACUUAAUUACAUACUUUGAGGCAGAUUUCAUCACACGAUGAUUAACAUUAACACAUAUGGAUUAGCUUUUGGGCUAAACGUAAUCUUAAUUUAUUAAUGAUGUUAAAAUUUAAUGGGACAUUCUCAUUAUAAUAAAUUCAUGAAAUGCACAAACAAAAAAGCCAAAAUAUUUAAUUUAUUGUUUUCACAAUAGAAGUAAAAUUGUUUUUAUUAACUAAUAAUUCAAAUAUUUCUUUUAUAGUUUAAUUGUUUUCUAAUAACUUCUUUUUUUUUUAAUAUCCAAACUCCACAUUUUAAAAAAACAACAAAAGGAAAAAGAGAUUAAAAACAAAAAACAAAAAUAAUAUAUAUAUAUAUAUAUAUAUGUUUAUACAAUUCGUACAUUGUACAGAGAGCAAAGCGUUGAGAUAAUCGUACUCUGUUUCACCAUUUUUCUUUACAAACCCAAUUCAAAUUUUGUUCCUCUCUCUUAAACUCGAAAUCUUCGAGCAUUACAACACAAACAAAAAACAAGAAAAGAUCAUAAACCGAAUUCCACUAACAAUUAAAAAUUGAAAUUGAAAUUAGGGCCAAAUCAAAUCAACACAAACCCUAGAUUCCUUGAGAAACUCAUCCAUUACAUUCUCAUCGGCACAGAUCCGGGUCUUGUAAUUAUUGGCGUAACAGCAGUCGGAUCUGGGCAACACCGAGUUCCCAUGGGCAGAAGAAGAAGAAGAAGAAGAGGGCAUGGUCGUUGGUGGAGAAGGGAGAGUGAGGGAGUAGUCGGGAUUGGUGUCGUGGUGACGGAGGAGUUGGGAGAGGAGGAGGAGAAGAGAAGCCAUGGAUGAUGAUGGGAGGGAAGUGAAGGAAAUUAGUUGGGAGGGGGAUUGAAUGAAUUGAAAAGAGUAGGGAGAUUUGUUAUUAAUAAUGAAGGGAAUUGAAUGAAUGGCAUUUAUGGGCUCUCUUCCCACCGUUUGUAAGAUUUUCCAAUGGGUAAUUUAAUUACAAUGAGUCCGUCUUUCCACUGUUUAAUGUUUAGUGUUCUUAGUUUUCUCCGCCGGUAUUCUUUGUUUUCUUUCACAACAAAUGAAUCCAACGCUUAACAAAACCAACGCCAAAAAUCAGUGGGUCUCCCUCUCUAUGUGUAAGAUUUGAAGUAUAAGAAAGAAGAAGAUGCCUAAACUGCUCUCAAACAUCACUAAUAACGCAUCACACUUCACACUUUCACUUGUGCUGUUUUUCUUUCUUUUUAUGCUCUUCUUAAUACUAACUUUAUUUAUUGUUUCUCACUUAAAGUCAUUUUCUUUCACUCAUAUAUUUUAACUUGCAUUUGGGUCAUUUUUUUAUUUUCUUCAAUCCUAGUUUUUCUCUCUCUUUUUUAUGGAGAGUGGUGAAUGCAUAUGAAAAAAAGACAAGGUUCAAAUUUAAAUUGAAACUUUAGUCUUUAUAGUUUUAUAAAUUAUAAUUUAAUUAGUGCGAUUAUAUAUGAAAUUUUGUAAACAAAUCUUAAAACCCUCCUAUCCACUAUUUAAAUUGAAGUUUAGCCUUUAUAGUUUUAUAAAUUUUGUAAACAAGGUUACACUUAUGAUGUGUAUACAAUCUUUGUACACAAUUAUGUACAAAGUAUAAAAGAUCUUGGUAUACAAUUGUGAACCAAGAUUGUUAAUAGAUUGUAUACUUGAUCGCUUUGCUAUUAGUAUGUGAUCGUGUACCGAUUCAAGAUCUUGUACCAAACCUAAAAAAUCUUGGUACACAAUCGUGAACCAAGAUCAUUUAGGUUUUAAACACGAUCGUUUAGUUCGUACUACGCGAUCAUAUACCAAUAUGUGAUACACACAUGUAUGAUCGGUGUUGAUACUACCUACACGAUUGUGUAUCAUUGCCUAUACGGUCAUGUGUCAUUUCUUAAAUGAUUACAUAUCAUGAUCAUUUAGAAGAAGAAUUACGUGUGCGUGUGUGACUGAUUAAUCGCGUGUUGACUAGAGCAUUUUUGGUAUUUCGCAUCAUGAGCUUGUGGACUUUUUCCGAUUUUGAAAUUGCCACUUUGUUAUACUUUUUUGAAGAGUUCUUUUAUUUAUUCAUUUGUUUGUUUUGAUUUGUUCAUCUAAUUGAUUUGGUAAGACUUGUGUAAUUUUUUUAAGAAUUGAUUUGGUAAGAGUAAUAUGAUUUUUUUACUCUCCUUCUCUUUGUUUCUUUCUUCAUGUUCUUAUUUAUCUUAUUUUCUCUAAUACUAUUAAUAUUUAAUUCUUCUUAUUAAUUUGACAUUUGUAAGUUUUAAGUGACAAAUUUAAGUUAAGUCUUUUCUUAACCUUUCUAAUUGUAUACAUUUCACCCUAUACCAAAUUUGGUUCCUUUUUUGUUUUUAUAUUUCGAUUACUUUACAUAUCAACUUUUUACAUUUUUUUUAAGUGAAAGGAUUGCCAAAUUAAAAAAAGAAUAAAAAAAUAAAAGAAUUCAAAUUUCAAAUGUACAAAAUAUAUGAGAAUUUAAUAUAUAAGAAAGUUAUACAACAACAAUUUAAUAUCUCAAAUUCCAAAUUAGAGUUUGGUUUAUUUGAAUGCCAAGUUUUCCCACCUACUCUUUCUUAAAUUAUAAGAAAGAAAAAAAGGAUUAAAGUUAUAGAAAGAUGAACUUGAAUAAAUAUUUGUAAUAAUAUGUGACGUUGGGUAUUGAGGAUUAAAAAUUGGUGAAGAACCAACUCCAAACCUCUUUAAAUUUCUAACACAAAAAUCCCAAUCUUGACUUUGUAAUACCAUCCUUCUCAUAUCAAAUAAUAAUAACAAUAAAUUAUUGGUUUUUCCAAACAAGACAAACACAAAUGGAUUACUUACAAAUAUAUUUUCAAAUAUAGCAAAUAAACCAAAAUAAUAAUCUAUUUAAAAAAUAUAACAAAAUUUCAUAUUCUAGUUUUAAUCUAUUUGUUGUUAUUCAAAAUAUUUUUUCAUAAUAAUAAUACAUAAAUAAAUAUUAGGAACAGAGAGAGAGAGAGGAAUAUAGUAUCUAGAAAAGUUUAAUUCCACAGCAUAGUAUAAAAUACAAAUCCAAGGAAAAAGGAGAAUUUGUGUUUGCACAAUGUUUUCUAUAUUUUAAGUUGUACCAUCUCUUUUUACAUUCAUCUCAACCACACAAUACAAUAAUAAAAGAAGUUUACAAUAUUUGAAAAAAAAAAAACAAGAAUUUGUCACAUCACAAGUGAUAGGAUGAUUACUUAGCAAAAUAGGAUGCAUAACAAUGUCUCUCUUUAUCUGUCACUAAAAAUCCUCCAUUUCUAGCAAACAUUUGGUAAUGUUUGUAUGAGUUGAAUUAUUGGGUUGUGUAAAAAAAAAAAAAGAAACCUAAAUUCUCAAAUCAUCACUAUCAAUAAAAACAAAAAAGGAUUAAAUUAAAAAAGAAAAUCCCACAAAGCUUCAUCCUUGUUUGUAAUGUGUAUCUUAUUAAACUAAAAAAACAAGGAAAGAGAGGGGUAAUAGAACAAGUCUCCCAUUGUUUUUCACAUCCCCACUUGUCGAUCCCUUACUCCUCUCUCGCCGGCCUUUCUCUGCUUUUAAACACUCUCUUUCUCAAACCCCCUGUUUCUCCCCCCAAAAAUAAUGGAUCGUCUCAUCACCCUCGAACCCUCCAACCUCAUUCCCAUCCGAAUCGACCCCCCCCACAAAUGCUCCGGCGACCUCACCCUCCGGAACGUCAUGUACACCAUGCCUGUCGCCUUCCGACUCCAGCCUCUCAUCAAAUCCCGCUACACUUUCAAGCCCCAAUCCGGAAUCAUUCCUCCACUCUCUACUUUAACAGUCGAAAUCCUUUACCAUCUUCCACACGGCGUCAGUCUCCCCGACUCCUACCCUUAUUCCGAUGACUCUUUUCUCCUCCACAGCGUCGUCGUCCCCGGCGCCGCUAUCAAAGACUCUUCCUCAAGCUUCGACUCUGUUCCUUCCGAUUGGUUCACUACCAGAAAGAAACAGGUGUUUAUCGACAGUGGGAUUAAAGUCAUGUUCGUGGGGUCGGCUGUGUUGGCGAGAUUAGUGGCGGAUGGGGCUAUGGAUGAGAUUAGAGAGGUGUUGGAGAGGAGUGAUCCGAGUUGGAGGGCGGUGGACUCUGUGGAUGAAAAGGGGAGGACUCUUCUUCACUUGGCGAUCGGGCAGGGGAGAGCGGAUUUGGUGCAGUUGCUGUUGGAGUUCAAUCCGGAUGUGGGGAAAGUGGGGGAGAGUGGGAUGACGGCGGUGGAGGCAGCGGCGGGGGCUGGGCAGGCGUUGAUUGUGGAGUUGUUAUUGGCGAGGAAGGCGAGUACAGAGCGGGGGGAAGGAUCUGUUUUUGGAGCGAUUCAUUUGGCAGCGGCGGGAGGGCAUGUGGAAGUGUUGAGGCUGCUAUUGGUGAAAGGAGCUUGUGUUGAUGCUCUGUCAAAGAGUGGAGAUACGGCACUGCAUCUGGCCGUUCAAGAGCGCCGCCGUGAUUGUGCUCGGUUGCUUCUCGCCAAUGGCUCUAAACCUGAUGUUCGUAGUGCUGAACAAGGUUACACUUUCUCACUUUUCACUCUAUUUUUUACAUCUAACUAUUUUUUCUUCUCUCUUUUAUUUUUUUUAAAAAAGGUUAAAUUGUUAAAAUAUAUAUAUAUAUAUGAAUUUUUUUAGUAUUUAUUUCAAUAUUAAUUGUGGUCAUUAUUUAUAAAUGGUUCAAAAUUGUUGUAAGUAAUGUUUGUUUGUUUGUUUUUUUUAUAAAAAAGUUCACAACCUUAUUUAAAUAUUGAAUGCUAAGAAAAUUGAAAUUAGAGACAAGAUAUUUAAUUUAAGCUUGGGAAGCUAUCUUAAACUAAUGCAAUUAAUUAAUCCAUAUGGUUACAAAACUUUCUUUAUCAAACCAUUUUUUAGUUGUUUAAUUCUCCGUGGUUUCUAUUUAAUUAAUCAUUAGUCUUAGGAAGUGUCAAUUACAAAUUUAAAUUUAUAAUUAUCCAUCCAUUAACGAGUUGACUAAGGGUAGACUAAAAAACAAAGCAUUGUUGGGCAAAAAUGACAUUUCAAUUGAUUAUUUGUUUGAUAAUUAUUUAGUUUUUAAAAUUUAUUUGUGUGUUCCAUUUUUCACCAUUUUUUAAAUGAAAAGGUUAAAUUUUGCAAUUUAAGUACAAAAAUCUGUAGUUAAUGUGAAAAGCAAAUAUUCCUUUGUAACUAAAAUGGUGGUUCUUAUUUACAACACAGGAGAUACGGCGCUGCACAUGGCCGCAAGAAUCGGUGAUGAGCAAAUCGUUAAGCUUUUAAUUCAAAAAGGAGCCAACAAAGACAUCCGAAACUGGGUUGGAAAGCGUCCAUACGACGUUGCAUUUGACCACUCCCACACCCGCCUCUUCGACGUCCUCCGCCUUGCCGACAAGCUUGCCACUGCAGCACGCAAGGGCGACGUUCGCUCAAUUCAACUCCUCGUCGACAGUGGUGCUGCUAUCAAUAGUCGCGAUCAAAACGGCUGGACAGCACUCCACAGAGCUGCCUUCAAGGGCCACACCGACGCCUCAAGAGCCCUCAUCGAUAUUGGUAUAGAUGUCAAUGCUAAGGACGACGACGGCUAUACUGCACUUCACUGUGCUGUUGAGGCUGCUCAUGAUAACGUUGUCCAAGUACUCGUCGAGAGAGGCGCCGACGUUGAGGCGGUGACGAAUAAAGGGUUGAGUGCAAUGCAAAUUGCUCAAUCAAUGCAGUAUACAAGGACUAUGAGGAUUUUGAUGCACAGUGGUGUGAGUAAAGAUCACAUCGACGUGCCACCGACGCGAACGACGUCGUGGCAGGGGUUGGCGAAGAAGAAACAACAGAGUAAAGGAAGAGGGAGAAUCAAGAGUUUGAGGAGUACGGACUUUGAUAAAUCAGUAGCACUGUCAGUGGUGUGAGAAAAUUUGUAAAGAAUUUGGAGGGAACAUGAUCACUAUAUUUAAUUAGUGUUUUAUAUAUAAAUGUGGGUGUGUAUUUUUUGUAUGUACGGGAAUGAGAAUGUGAUGAGAUGAAUUAUAUGUAUAUGUAUAUUUUCCAUCACUUGUUUGUUUAAAGUUGAAGCAACUUUUAUAAUAAUUAUUGGAAUUUUGUAAUUAAUUCAAACUUAAAUGGGAAGAAGUUUCUGAAUAUUGAUGUCUAAUUUUAAAAAUAUUGUAAACAUUAACAAAUAAUUUGACAAAUUUAUGAUUGUUUUCUAAAAAUAGAAUAUAAGAAUAGAUGAAAAGUAUAAUUGUUAAGAACUAGGGGCGGCCUUGGUUUUUCAAUAUAUAUAGUAGAGGUCAAUUUUUAAUGUUGUCACAAACUUCUUUGGGAUUCUCACACCACCCUUCAUCUCUUCCUAUCAAAUCAAUCCACCUUUUUAAAUUUUUUUUUUUAUUAUUCAUUAUAUAUAUACAUUUGGACAAAUAUAAAAAUUAUUUCAGUUAAUUUCGUUAUAAACCAAUCUUCUUUCUCACCAUGCAAAUAAUUGAUAAAUAAGUUAGCCUCCAUUUAAUUUAAUCACUAUUUUGUUUCUCGUUUUUACGUGAAAAUUUCUAUGCCCACUCGUAGUUGUUAUAUAUAAAAAAAAAGUUAAUAAAUAAUUGGAAGAAAAUGAUUAAAUAUAAGUUUAGGAAAUAUAAUGUUUUAAAUUUAUGAAUAUUAUUUAACAUUGAAAUGAAAUUUAUUUUAAGAGUGAUAAAUAGUCAACGGGAGCCAUGUGAUAGGUUUUUUCAAAAUGCCAACUUCACUUUACUUUACUUUUAUCUACAAUUAUGUUACAUAUAUUAAUUAGUAUCAUUAUUUAUCAUAGGGGUGUUGAUUUUUUAAUGGUACAUAUAAUUUUUAAAAAGUGAUGAUAUUGGGAUGGUUGACUUAGAAAAUGAUUAGUUUGGCAAGAUGAGUGAUGAGAUUGAUCCUGUAAGAUGUGUAGUCCAUAAAUAUGAUCACACACCUUGACACAAAGAAUAAUAAUUAAGUAGUCAUAUAAGCUCAAAAUUAUUUACAAACUUGAAAGAAGAAGAAGAAUAUGGCAGGAAUAAUGAAGAAGAUCCAGGAAACAGUGCAGAGCCAUAAGAAGCAACACGAUGGGGAGAAUGGAGCUCAUGAAGGAGUUGGGAUUGUGGAGAAGAUGAAAGAGAAGAUCCAUGGUUACAAAGAGAAAAACAAAGAGAAGAAGAAGCAAAGGAAGGAGAGGAAGGAGAAAAAAGAAAAAGAGAAGAAGGAGAAAAAAGCCAAACAAAAAGCAGAAGAAGCAGAAGAAGAAGAAGAUGGGGGUGAAAGCAGCGAUGGCGAUAGUGACGACAGUGGUGGCGGGAGCGACUAAUAAGUACUGUGUGUCUUAGCGUUUCGUCCUUUCUUCUUCUUCUCUUUUUCGAUUCCUUUUUAGCUUUCUAUUAGAAUAAUAUUGCAUGAUUAAAUAUGGAUCGGAGUUGAAAUUCAAACUUAUUUCUUUUGUGUUUCUUCAAAUUUGAAUGUGUCACAUUUUAUCAUACAACAACACCACACAAGAUCUUAGAUGGUCAUUAAUAUCUACAUGGAUGUUGUCCUUCAUCCAUGGUGCUCCUUCGACUUCUCGUGCGUCUCUUGUUUUUCUUCUUCCUCCUCUUUUUUUCUCUUUAAAAGUUGAAACAAAAUUUAGUUUUAUAAUAUAUAUAUAUAUAUAUGAAUCCAAAUGUAUUAAAAGAAAACUAUCAAAAGUUUACCGUAUCUAAUGCAACCUAAUUUCUGUGCAAAAUUCAUCUCAACAAUCAAAAUCUUUAUAUAUUUUAAAUGCUAUCAAAUUUUUUGAUCUACAAUGUGUGUAGGAGUGUUUUUCCAUUGAUCAAGAUUUUUAUCUUAAAUGAUGCUAACUCAAGUCAACCACGAUUAAAUUGCCGUAAAAAUGUUGUAUUAAGAAAAUAUUUAAACUUUAAAGUAAGUACACAUUACAUUAUUGAUAAAUUUCAUAUUCAAAACUAAAAGUUUAAAUUAGCAUAGUUUAACUAUGCCAUAGAAUUUGUGCUAUCGACUUAAAUGUGAGAAUUUCAAUUCUUCUUUGAUCUUCUAGUGUUAAAUAAAAUUUAAAACUAAAAAGAUUUAUAAAUACUCGACCAAAAUCUAGUAUUUGCCUCUCAAAGAAUACACAACCAUAAAUACACAUUUUGCAAAAAUAAAAAAAUGCAAAUAUAUACACAAUAAGGAUUGAAAUUUAAAAAAAACUAUGAUUGUUUUCAAAUAUAAUAAAAGAAAUAAAAAAUUUAUAUGAUAUAAUAAAAUUUUAUAUUUUAACGGUUUUAUCAUUUAAAACAAUUUUUCAAGUUCGAAAAAUAAAAUUAAAACAACGAGUAAAGAAUACAUUUUCGAAAAAGGAAACAUACAAUAGGUAAAGAAAUAAAUAAGAAACAAAGAAAAGGAAAAUGAUAGAUUAAAAAAACUACAAUUUUUUUUGUGGAGUUUCUCAAAUUUGAACCAGUUUUACGACUAUAUUUUCAAAUCUAAAAACAAGUUAUGAAAGUAUUUUUCAACAAAUUUGUUUCUUGAAAAUUGAAAAUAAAUAGAAAAGCAUGAAAAGAAAAAGGACUAUUCUAUUUUUAAAAUAUUAUUUAAAACUAUUUCUCUUAUAUCAACUUAGUCGUGGAGACCCACAAUUUUAGGUUUUGAAAUAUAGAGUUGCAAUCAUUUAAACUCUAAAUUAAUAAUGGAAGCAAUUGAAAUCUUUAGCUUUUGUAAAUAUAUCAAUCCAUGCCCUUUUUCAAAUAAAUUGUGAUGAGUACAUCAAUUUAGAUCCUUUAUACAUCAAAUCAUCCCUUCAAAUCUUAAAAUUGACCUUUUUUUUCCAUUUGUACUUAGUGCAAAAGUCAUAUUUGUACUAUGGAUUUUUUUUUUCUUUUCGUUUUAUAAAAUAUAGUAAAAUGUUUCAAACUUGUUAAAGUUAAUUUAAUGCUAUUAGUUUAAUUUUUGUUUGCUAUCUAUAAUCAUUUCCCCAUCCCUUUUAGUAUUCAACAAACAUAAUAGCAAAUUUCUUUUGGUACCCAAGCAUUUCACAUAAUAAAUAGAACACAAGAGUGAUUUUUCUUUGGUCCUCUAACCUUCAUUUUCAAUAUGUUUAGGAGACAGCUGUUUCAUAUAUGGCAGAUAUUUCAAAAUUUAAAGCUUCCAAAUAAAACUAAAUCUAAGGUUGUUUACUUCUUUUGGUACCCAGUAUUGAACCAACCCAUGUCACAAUGGAUCGUUGGGAAUCUACAAACUCACUCCAGAUUUUAUAUCAACAUUCAGAAUUUUCAUGGUGAAACUGUUUUGAAUUUUGAUAUCCUUUUUUUAGAGUCCCAACAAAUGACCUAUUAGUACUUGGAAGCAAUUUUUAUGCAUUUCUGUUGUUUCUCCAACUAAAGUGAGUUUCCCGUAAUUGAUGUCUCCGAUCUUCUUCCCUAAUUAAAAGUAAAAUGUUGGAUUUCCAGUCCGAAUAAUAAUAAUUAAAAAAAACCACCAUAGAGAUGUUAUGAACAUUAGUAAAGAUCAUAUAAAAUCUCUUAAUCUUUAUUAUACAUCACACAUACAGUACAUAACGUAGUCUUAGAUUAAAAACAAAAAGAAACAAAGAUAGAGAAACAGAGAUCGGAAACAGAGGGAUGAUUAAUUAAACCAAAAGGGAGUGAGAUUAUUCUUGAACACACCAGCACGCGAUCGGAACACAAUCUACCUCUUAAUAAUGAUUCCGAGAUCUGACCCAUCAAUCGCUAUCGCUAUCGCUGCUGCUAUCUCCACCUUCGUGUUUGUGGCCGUGCUCACCCUUCUUCUUCUUCUCCUUCUUCUUCUUCUCCCCUUUCUCCUCAUGAUGAUCACCCCCAUGGAUCUUAUCCUUGAUCUUGUCCAUUAUCCCUUCCUUGUGCGCCCCUUCUCCAUGGUGCUCCUCGUGCUUCUUGUGUUCAUCGUGAUGCUCACCCUUGUGCUCGCCCUUGUGAGCGUCGUGGUGCUCUCCCUUGUGAUCGCCUCCAAUGUGGAGCUUCUCGCCGAUUUUCUCAAUGAAUCCAGACAUGUUUUGAUGAUGAAUUUGGAAUGGGGUUUUGAAGAGGAUGCGUGUUUGUGGAAAAUGGGGAAGGAAAGAAGGGGAAUUUAUAGAUGGCGAGGGAGGAGGAAAGACGAAUUGAAACGAAUAAAUUCAGUUUAUCCACAAUGUAUCCGUUGAUUUUGAUUGACGUUAUCUUAUUGCUUUAAUAAUUGCGUUUUUUUUAUAUAUUAUUAUUAUCCUUUUUUUCUGAUUCGUUUACGCGGUAACGCCACGUGUCACACGCUCUUCACCACGUCUUUGUUUUUUCCCUUUCACUUUCUAUUUAAUUCUAUUUUUUUGCUUUCAAUCAUACUAAAAAUAAUAAUUAGAUAUCUAAUCAGAAAAGUUUGGAGAAUUUGUUAGAAUAAAUUGUGCCAUUUCUACAGGUUAGGUUCAAGAUUUUGAAUGGGUUUGCGUUCCACCAAGUAAAUAUGAAUAUUAAUUGUAAAGGAAACUAAGAAAUUGAAUCUGAGAUUUUUUUAAUCAAAGAAAUUUACUGUGUUGGAUUGAGAAAAUUUUAAGUGUAUAUCAUAGUGUGUAUAAGAUAUGAAGUAAACUAAGUAUUUAUAGACUUAUUAGGUACUUUUAUUAUAUUUUUUCUUUUUAUGUUUAAGUGAUUUAUUUGACAUUUUUUUAAAUUUUGAAUUAAUGGGUGUUUUUCUAAAGCAUUAAAGCAUUCACUCAGAUGAAAUCUACCAAAAUUAAUUCUGUGUAACUUUUCAUUUAAUAUAAUGGACCCAUGAUGCCAUAACUCAAUUAAUGUUUAAAAUAAUAAUAAAAUAAACGUGUGAAAUUAAAUGAAAAAAUAUUGUUUAAAAUGAAUUUGAUUUAGUGGUAUUUGUACGACGUUUGUUUUUAUUGUUAUCGAUAAAAUCUUACUUUGAUCUAUAUUGAUGAAUAUAUUUUUUAAAAAAAUCAUGAAAAAACUAUUAAAAAAAACGUUUUAACUCUAAAUAAAUCAAAAUACUUCAUUUUGAAGAAAAAUUUAAGUACUUACUAUUGAUAUUAUAUUUACAUUAGUAUGUUUAAGAGUUAUGUCCUUUAAUGCAUCUAAAUCAUGUCAAUAUCUACUACUUAAGUAUACAUCAUUAUAGCUUUAUGAAAACUAUAUCCGUUCUCCACUUUUGAAUUUUCUCAACUUAGUCCACUUAUUCGUUUUCUAAUGAAAACAUCAAAUAAUGUAUGACAAAAUUUCGAUGUUUCGUUUUAACUACGAAGAGAUAACAUUUCUCUUUUCAUUAUAUAACUCUCGACUAUAUUGGUUGGUGUUUGAAAAUUUAAUAUCUUUUAGUUGAAAAAUAAUUAUAUAUAUAUAGAUGUACUCAUUCAUCGAAUAUGAAAUUUGAUGUAUAGAGAUCCGAGUUUAGAAAAAAAUUACAAUAUUAUUAUUUAGUAUUGUUUCGAGUCACGAUAUAUAUAUAUUAUAUAUAUUUAUUUUAUAAACAUCCUUUGAAAUAUUAAUGUAAAUAUAAAAUAGAAGUCAUGGAUAGGCGUGCAGAUAUGAAAUAAAAUGAAAUAAUUAUUUACUAAUCCAACUUGUAAUAACAUAAUAAAUAGCAAUAAUAAUACAUAUGAAUCAAAAUUAAUUUACAUGUUGACAUUAAUUCGGUUAUAUAAAGAAAAGGUAAACCUAACAAUUUGAAACUAUGGAAAAUAAGAUGUUGAACUAGAAGAAUCCUAAAGUAAUGCUCACAUGUUGAAUUGAAGACUAUACAAUUACAUUAUUUCAUCAUCAUAGUGAACCACUAUAAGAUAGGAGAUUGAACCUCUCACAUUUAAAAUAGAAGAACAUAUCAAUUAUUAUUGAACCAAGUUCACUUUACAUUUAUAAGAAGUAGUAUGUAUUAAAAUUUUGUUUAAACUGAAUUGUAAUUAAAAUGAAAAUCCUAUCAUAAAAUUAUAUGGCGUGAAUAGGUUAUUUUGUUUAGUUUUACCUAUUUUUUUCACAUAUUCAAUAAUCAAACUAUCACAAAAGUGUGGGUCUAUAAAAAGAUAAUAGUGAAAAUGGAAGAUUAGUAGUUUUAAUUGAAUUUAAUACACAAAAGAGGAGAAAUAGGUAAUUAAGAAAAGUAAAUAUCAAUAUACUAAAAAGUAAAAGAAAUAUGGGCAAUGGAUUGUUUAUUCAAGCGGGAUUAAGAGAAGCCACUCAUGGGAUGCCACGUGUGAAAGAUCCAUUGCCGACAUUUUGGUGUUAUAUUUGUAGAGGUCUCCGCGUUGGCCGACAUUUCAAUCAAAAAAGUGGUCGGCAGAUAAAUACCACGUGUCGUUCAUCUAAGCAUCCACGUGAAGUUAUUCUUUUUUAUUUUUUGAUUUUUUGAUUUUUUGAUUUUUGUCGUGUAGUGGAAAAUGUGGGAUUUGAGUCCAAAUUUUGAUGCAUGACUUUAUGUAAUAUCUAAACUCAUAUGUGGUUAUAAUUGAUUUAGCCAUAAAUUAAGCCUUUCAAUUUGCACCAUCUAACCCAACUUUAAUUUACAUACUAAAUCUAAUAAAUCAUCUCUCCUUAUUUCAAUCUCAAUUCCCUUUAAUUGCCUCUAUUCUUUCUUUACCUAUAUUUGUUCAUCCUAAUUAAGGAAUUCUCUUAUGUAAGGUAACAAAUAAAAAAAGCAAUAAUCUAAAUCUAAUCAUUCCAUCAUAUAUUAUUUUAGUUUAAGAAUAAAAUAGUAAAAUAGUAAAAAAACUAUAGCAAAUAAUAGGGAGUUUGAAAUAAUAUUUGUAGUAGCUAAUUGAGAGUUUUAAAAUAGUAUUUAUUGUAACUAAAGAUUGUCAGUAUAGUUUUAUAUAAUCCUCGUCCCAAAUGACAUGUAACAUGUGAUUGAAGUAUAAUUAUACACAUUUUUUAAUUUUUUAAUUUUUGAAUAAGUAUUCAUUGAACGUGAUCUCAUCGAUAUUUUAAUUUGGUCGAAAUUUCCAUAGAAGAAAGAAUAUACGAUUAUAAACUUAAUCAAAUCAUUAAAAAAAUAUAGAGUACUAUCUCCAUGAAAAUUCAUGGAUAUCAAUGAUUACACCCACCAAAAGAAGUAUCUAUCUUUUUAUAAAGAGUGUUGUAUUCGUCAGAGUUGAGGUAUCCCGAGUUGUGUUACAAACAGUUUAAUAACACAGAAGAAAAAAAAGCAUAGAUAAAUAUUUAUUCAUGUAAUAAUUGAUCUCCAGAUAUGUGGAAAAAUGAAAGGCAGAUUGAGUUUUUAUGUUUUUGUUGUUUCGUAGUAUUUUUCUUUAAAACGUUAAGAGAAAAUCAAAUAUUGAGUAAAAAGAGGAAAGUAUUGUUUAAGAAUUUAUAUUUUGUUUUUCGUCAAGAGUAUAUAGUGAUAGAAAUGAGAAAAAAGAGAAUUAAAAGGAGGAAAAUUCUUCACGUGAUGAGCAUCGAAUUCCUGGUCCAUGAUAUAUUCUUCAACAUAUAGCCCUUUUACCCUCUCAUAAUUCACUCUUUCUUCAAACUCAAGAUUUCCAAUCUAAACCCUUUUGAUGACUUUAAGUAGUGCUGUGAUUUAUGCACUUACAAUGAUCGUCUUCUUUAUCUCGUAAACAUAGGGUUUUGGUUUUUCUUUUAACAAUAGGGUUUAGUUGGUCAAAUGAGGUUUUGUGUUCAAGUCCAUGCGGUGCGAUACUAUAUUAUUCCCUCUCCAAUUAAAAUUGAUUCACAUGUCGUGUGUCUUCUCACGUAUCGACAUAAUUUAACUUGCUUAAUGAAUAUUAAUUGAGAGAGCAAAUAACAAUGCAAGAAGUUAAACACAUAACUGCGUUUGGACCAUAUGUUGCUCUAACCAUUUUAAAUUGUUGAUUGAUUUAAAAACUUAAGUUAGAAUUAUGUGAAACUUAAACGAAUUUAAUCCUAUAUCAUCUAAACCAUACCGUGCAUUUAUUCAAAAGUGGUAAAGUAUAAAAAAGAGGUAGGGAUUUGAUGUUAGUCAUGCAUAUAUAUAACUUUAUUUUGCUUAGUUUUCACGAUAUUGCUUGAGGCUUCCUCUUCAAUCUUUUAGUCUCUCCCUCAUUAAUAUGUGUAUAUAUAUAUAUAUAUAGACACAACCAAACUUUUUUCUUUUCUUUUCCCUUCUUUUCUUUCAUUAUUAGUACUCUUUUCUUCUUUUGCUUUUUCCUUCUGCUUCUUCUUCUUUCUUUCUCUUCACUUUAUUAUGCUUAUAUGAAUAAAGAAAAAUUAGUGUAUGUGAUUUUUGUUUUUACAACAAAUUAUCUCAAUAUUUAAAUGAAUGAGUUUGACAAUUUUACUCUAGAUUUCUUUUAGGGCGUUUCUGUGUUUGGGUCGUUGGAAUGCUUUUAAUUAGGAUUGGUUGAAUAUAUGCUUGACCAUUCAAAAGUAAGAUUUAUUAUUAUCAACACAACCAACUUGCACCACACAAGGAGAUUGGAAUUUGCCAACACGGCAAACUGCCAGGAAUUUAGCUACAUGUGACGUCGGAAAGGUUAUCGCAACAUUGUUUUAAUCAUCAACAAUUUGGCCAAGGGAGGAGACCCGUCUAGCAGAGAACAAAUGUCGAUGCCUGCCACAUGGUGUUUGGGAGUAAUGCUCAUAAUACACUGACACAAUUAUAUCAUUGGAAGUUAUAUGUUCAGUCCCCUAAUGCCUCUAUGAAGGUAUCAAGAUCUAUUCUAAAUUGUCGACGCUUUAUUUAAUCGUUGAUAGAAGUUGUUUAUCUCAACAAUUUACUUUUGAUGUGUUUUAUGUAUGAUGACAAAUACGUUUUUCUUUUUUCUUUUUAGUAUUGUGCAAGUGUUCAAAACUUAAGUGAAAGAGUGUGUCAUCUCCCAACUCAGUAUCUUUCAUCAUCAACCUAUUUACCCAAUCCUUUUUCGGAACUUGAAUUUGAAUAUUUGGUUUUUACAAUCUGAAAAUGUCUGUUUGAAUCACUAAAAUCUCGUUUAGUAAUUAUUUUAUAUUUAGUAUUUUUUGUUUCGAUAAUUAAAUUUAUUUUUUCUUUUCUUCUUACAAUGAUUUACAACUUUUGAAUUUUUAAUCAAAUUUAAAAAACAAAAACAACUUUUUAAAAGUUACUUAUUUUAGAUUUCAAAAUUGAGCUUAGUUUUUUUAAAACAACUAGUAAAUAGUAUAUAACAAAUAAUGAAAUUUAGAUGUGGAAGUGAUGUAGAUAGACUUAAUUUUCAAAAAGAAAAAUCGAAAAAAUAAGAUGACUACCAAACGAGUCCACAAUUUUUUAUCAAUGUCAUAACCUAAGGGUUCAUAUAACAAAGUAUCUUGGUAUUGGUGAAUGAGUUAAUUUAACCAUAUAGUAACUAAAUCUCCAUCUUAUUUUGUCAAUAUUGGAGUAACUCCAAAUUUUUGUAAGAUUUUUAGUCAUUCAAAUAAUACAAAUACUAUGUAUGAAAAAAAUCAUUAACUCAAAUCACAUAAAUACUUUAUACUAAUACUUGGGUAUAUGAAUUAUUCUUCCAUACAUCAAUUAUCAUACAGUUUCUUUUCCAUAAAAGUACCAUUUAGAUAAUCCAAAAAUUACACCUAUAUAAGUUUGGAUGUAUUUUGGAAAAUCCAUCGGAGGAUGACACUCUGUUAGGGGGAAGGCCCAUUUGUACAAACCCCAAUUUAUUGGGCUUUUAAAUUUUCAACAUCGGCUCAUUUGAACAAGCCCAUCUUUAACUAUAAUUUGGGCUUUCGUAAAAUAAUAAAUAUUGAUAAAACUAAUUAAGGAAACCCAAAUUUUUUGUUAAAUAAUUGUUUGAUGCUAUAAUUGGAGGAGAUUGUGGUUAAAGCUUAUGUAAUUAAGGUAUUGGUAACAAUUGUUUUAUUAUUUAAUUGGUAAUAUUAUAUUAUCUCUUUACGAGAAAAAAUCAAGGUUGCUAGUGCACUAUUUGAAGCAUAUGUAGUCAACAUAUGUGAUGAUAUGUUCAACUAAUAACCUAAAUUUUCUAUAGCAUAUGACUAAAGUUGGAUGGAUUAUCGUAUCAAUACUAUUAUAUUGAUAUUGUCCAUUUUAUAAUAAUUACAAAUGAUUUGACCUAAACCGUUCAUAUGAAGACAUGUGAGUACCAAGGAUAUCUCUGCAGACACAAAUGUUAUAUCUCUCUUUGCAACUUUAUAAAGCGAGAAGAUAAAAAUUAAUAUUUCACAAGACGACAACCAUAAUCCUAAGACAACCAUAAUAUUUCACCCUAUCAUUAGUUCAAGAGAGACUUGAUUUAUAAUUGAAUCUAAAACGGUUGUUCAUAAAAGUCAAUAGAUCUUUUAAAGAUGCAAUAAUAGUAUUUAUAAUUGCAUAAUAAAGUGUUCAUUGUUAUUGAUCAAUAUAUGUAGACAUACCACAUGAACAUAUCUCUUGAAAAAGAACAAAUAUUGUUAAUCAGCGGGUCGCUAACGAGUGACUUGACUUUUUUGUAUCAAAUGCUAAGGAGUGUCCAAACAAUACAUUGAUGUGUCAAAAUAUUUUAACAAACUUUUAAAAAAUAAAACGCCGUAUUUAAAUAAUAGAAUUCAAAAGGGGUAAAAUAGAGAAUGUAAUUUAGUAUAUUUAGUCCUCUUUUUGUUUCUCUAUGAUUGUUAUUUGUAAAUAUAACUUUUCUCCCUCACUAUCUCUUCAAAUCUCUUGAGGAUAUUUCUUUACUUCCUUUCUAUUAGUUCAUAAAUAUGAAUAUAAUUAAAAGUUUGAAAACAGUACUUUUAAUUUAAAAUGAAAAAUAAAAACAAAAACUAUUCCUAUCACUAAAUGGAAAUAAAAAGUUUAUAAUGAUUUUAGUUUAUCAAAUUCCAAAUUCUAGAAUAUUAUUUUUCUAACAAUUUCUCCUUUUCUUUUUCAAUAAUGUAAAAUGAAUAUUUUAUUUUUUAAAAAUAAUUAUCAAGUAAACUUUUCAUCUUUUUAACCAACCCAUAUUAUACAUCAAUUUUACAAUAUAUAUUUUUAAUUUUGAGUGAAGAAGGUAAAAAAAAAAAGGUAAUUAAGAUAUAUUUAUUUUCCAAAAUAGAAAAAAAAAAAAGGAAAAACAAAAAAGAAGAAUGUGUACGGAUCUAAACUCUAUAAUUCAAACCUUUGCUCAAAUGGUGAACUUUUGAAAAAAGAAAAAGCAACAACAUUUACUUAAAAGGAUCCCCAGAUAUAAAGUUUAGAGUAUGAAGUGAUAAUUGAUUCAAUUAAUACUUUUUGUCCAAAGAAAAUAAAACAAAUUGAUUACUUACUUGUUUAAAUCUCCAUCAUUGAAGACUUGAGAAAGUGUUUUAAAAUUUAUAAUGGAAUUGAAAUAUUUUAUAAUGUAAUAGCAUUUUGAGUUUAAAUCGUAAUAUGAAACUCAUUUCAUUUUGACAGUAUGUAAUUAUUGUGUUAUCAACUCAACACACAUUCCAACGUUUAUCUAAUCUAAUUGUGUUGAUUAAUGGGUAUAUAAGAAUCCUUCCUCUCACUUUUACAAAGCAAAAUUAGAAAAAGAAAAAGGCAAAACUUUUGACCUAUUUUUUUUCUUUUUUUUCUAAGGUUUUAUCAAAGAUAAUGCAAUUACUUUUUGGGCCACUAAUUUAGAGGAGAUUUGAGUCACUUCUCAUUAAAAGUAUGUAUUCUCAUCAUGGAAAUUUUUGGGAAGGGUAACAAACUUUCAUUUAGCUUUUUGUUUCCCUUUUUUCUAUUGCUUCAAGGAAAAAGAAAAAGAAAAAGAAAAAAAAAGAUUAGCUUUUGGAUUUUUUUUCCCUUUUUUUCUUUUAAUCUUUCUUUUUAAUUACUUUUGUUUUCUUUUUCCCUUCCUUUUAAUAAAAACAAUGGGAAAAGGAAAAGGUGAAGUGGCUUUCCUAAUGAUUCUAUAUUUUUUAUGGUGUGUUUCUUUAUGUUAUAAUAUGAAAUUGGUUAAAAUAUGGCUUUUCUCUCCGUUUAGUUUUUAUGUUUUACAAGGAUUAAAAAUGAUAUUUUAACCAAUGAAAUUGAUGUUUUGUACUUAGUUCGACAACUCGAUUUUUAUUAUUUAAAUAUUUUUUAGUUCAUCACGGGAGGUAUAAAUUUGAAUAAGGGGUGAAAUUAACGCAAAUUACUCAUGAACUAAUUAAUAAAUUAAACUAGUAAAAACUUGAGCAAAUAGUCACAUAAUGUUACAAUGCAGCUCAUUAGAGAUUGUUCUCUAUUUUGACCAAAAUCUUUCGAAAAUGAAGUAGUUUUGUGUUGUGUUGGUGUUUCAUUGAAUUGAUGUUAAAUGGCCUUGAUUCUUGUGCUAUCUUCCCAACACCCCCACUUACAAAGGCUACUUGAAAAUUAAAUGAGUGAUAAGAUCUUCACAUCCUUUGCUUGGUUGGCAGCUCUUAUAAAUAUUUAAUGAUCCUUUUCCAAAGGGGACACCCACACCCCCCCUUUUCUUUUCUUUUUUUUUCUUUCUACUUUCUUUUCUAAUAAAUAAAUAAAACACACAGUCACUCUCUCACAAAGUCCUUUUCAUUUCAAUGUAAUGUCCCUUUCUCACAGAUAGUAUUUUAUCUCAAUUCUAUUAUCUCCCUCUCAUUUUCAUUUUUUUUUUUUUAUAUAUUUCUACCCUUUCUAUUUUCCCUUCUUUAUGUUUGCAUCUAAUUUAAAUUACUAUAAUGAUAUUUGCUAUGUUCUAUAAAUUAGAUGUUGAAGUUUUGAAUUGUCAUUCUCGCAGUUGGAUAUGCAUUACAUUUGGUUUUAAAAUAGUUAAAACUACUUUGGUUAUAAAGACUAAAACGGGUAUGGUUUUUAUAUGAAUUUUCUGGCAGAAAAAGGUAUGUUCUGAAAGCUCAAAAAGUUCAAAUAAAAUGCAUACAAAUAUUUUACAAAACUUCAUCAACAAAUAGAAUAAACCUAAAAGUUAUGUAAAACCUAGUUGAAAAUAGAAACCCCCAUCAAAGAUACAUUGCUGUUCUCAGUUAGUGGCAGAGGCAAUGGAAAGAAUAGAAAUGACAGAUACUAAACUGUGGAACAAAAAAACACAUCAUAAACCUUAUGUACCAAAUUUCUUCCGAGCUUUCAGAGAUUUAUAAACAGCUUUUAAGAUUAAAAACAAAAAAUACAUUUUUAUGUGCUCUGAUGGAAAAUCUAUAAAAGAGAAUAAAAGCUUCCAGUUUUUGCUUCCAAAAUUUGAGGAGUAUCCCUAAAAUGGCCUUUGCUAUCUGCAUUAGUUGUUUCUGAAGUUUCAAAAACACUACCUUUCGAAAUGUUUUCCUUUGGAUAUGGAUGAAUUCCAAAUGUGGUCCAUAUAGGACUCCUUGAAGCCUCGCUUGGGUUAUCCACUCGUAACGUCUUUGGAACCACCACGCAUUUCUCUGACUUCUCGUCCUCUGCUAGGCUGUUUGUAUCUCUCAAAUGCUUACCGAGUGUAGGCGAUGAGCUUGUGGGGCAGGUGGAUGUUUGAGAUGCACAGACAUCAGAAGGAACAACGGUUAAAUUCCCAGUACCGGUAGAAGUCCAUACGGGCGUACAACCCCAGCAUGAGGCUGGGACGAAUUGUAAUGGAAGGCUUGGAGUGCAAAACCCUGGAACUGCCAGCACUGUUGCUGGGAGCCAUUGAACUGGUGGAUUGGGAUGACUGCUAGUAUUUGGUACACUUGUGCUAUCUGAGCUUUGGGUCAUUGCUGAUGAAAUUAGGCUGCUUCCGCCCUGAUUCAAUGGAAAAACCAAUUGUGGAACGGGGUAACAAUGAACCGUAUUUGAUGCAGUGAUAUCACUACUAGAGUUGGACAAUCUAACUGCCUCUGGCCUCUCGAUGACACUUUUAGGCAAUUCGUUUCCACGAAUACUAGUAGUUGUCAUGGAAGAUCCGCAUGAGGAUGGUUCUUCAGGACUGUCUCCACAAUAUGCAGACCCAAUCUCAAUGGAUCUCUUCUGAUCUCCAAGACUCAGCACAGUCUCCAUCGAUUCACAAAGUGGUGCUUCGGGUCCAAACUUUAGGACAGUACUACUUCCAUUGGAAGGCCUCAAAGCAGAAGGAGACUCGAUAUUCGAGAGUAGAUGAUGGUGAUUUGUUGCAUCCGAAGUUUCCAAGCGGGUUGUAGCAACUCCCUCGGAGGAUACUAUUAUCUGUCGGUAUUGAGAUGCCAACUGCUUGUUUCUUCGUCGUCCAGCACCAAUAGGAACGUUUCUCAUCGUCCCACCAGCAGUCCAAUAUCUUUGGCAGUUCUUGCAGAAAUGCCUAGGUUGAUUGACAUUAUAGUUGUUGAAGUAACAAAAUUUUGUUUCCAAACUAUUACAUCUAGGACAAGGAAUGAUUUUGUCUGGCUUCUUAAAUGCUCUUUCUUGAUCCGUGCCAUUACCAUCCUCCUGCUCUUCUUUCAAAUGUAGUUCUGAUUCUCCCUUGUUUGACGUCACGUUCGAAGCUUGGUUUUCUUCAUUAUCCCCUACCAAUACCGAAGACCUCUCUGAUGGGCAAGAGUCUUCUGCACCUGAGACUGACUGCUCAGCUUUUUUCAAAUUGUUGCAAGCAUCCUGAAAACAGUAUUCAACAAAUUGACACUUAACAACAGUCAGAAAAGAGAAGCACACAAUCGACAUACGUCGAAAAAAAAGCCAAGAAGUGUAUCAAAAUCUACAAGGAGAUGGGAUUUUACAAAACAAGACCUCAGAGCCCUUCCCAAAUAAGGUAAAAAUUACAUUCAUUCAAGAAAGAUAGUACAAUAUGCAACACGAAUGAAAAGAUACAAGGAAACAUGAUAUAAAUGAACAGAACACUUCCAUUAAGGAAUCAAUCUUCAUCAAACAUUUUCAGCAGCUCCAGAUAUUCACAAGAGAACUUCAUUUAACCCUCAAUGGAUCCACUACAAACUGAACCAAAAAAACCAUCUGAAUUCCACAUUCAAAUUUGGCUAAAAACAGUUCUCCUAAUGAACUUCUUCCAAAACCACAAAGUUGGGAAAGGAACAGUAAAGUCAACCAAGGCCACAAAAACAUUACAAGAACAAAUCUAAACAAAAUCAUAUAUUGAAGUUAAAACCCAAUAAGGGCCCCAACCCAAAUGCUUAGAGAACCCAAAAAAACAUAUACACACAAUGAAAAGAAGAGUUGAAAUGAGAGUAGAAGAGGGGGAAAGAGACAACUCAAUAGAAGAAGAAGAAGAAGAAAAAGAAGAAGAAGAAGAAGAAGACCAAGAAUAUGAAUAAGACAGUUAAAUGAGCAUUUCAAUAAUCUUUUCCAUGUCCCACAAACACACACACACACACACACACACACAGUAAAGGCAUUUUUCAGAUUAAACCCAGAAAGCAAGAAGCCAUCAAAAUAAAGAGAGAAUGAAGGAAAGGGGAGGAAAUAAAAUAGGUACCGGAUUAUGAAGAGGGGCGGCGGAAAUCUGGGAUUCCGGCAAAGGGAUGGUCCGACCGAAGAGUUUAAUGGCGAGAUCCUUGAAAUGUGGGGGGGAAAUGACAUCCUGUGUAGUAGAACUGGACAUUUUGAAAAAUGGGUUGUUAAUGGAGAGUAGUUUGAUUGAGAAAGUGGGAAGGUUUGGAGGUGAAAAUCAAUGGAAGAAGACCCAUUCAAAUAUAGAGAGAGGUUAUGAAGGAGGGAGAAGGAGAAGGAGAAGAAGAAGAAGAAGAAGAA
rnacentral:lncRNA from 1 species